AACCUUCCAUUAUAAGUAUAAUGAAUUAUUAAAGUAACUAAAUGUUUUCAUAAAAUUCCCAAUCUUAGUUACUUAGGCAAAAGUGAAUUGAUGCAAUUCCAUGAAAUUACACUUUGUGCCCUUGCGAAGACGUUAGUGGAGCGUGUGUGGUUAACCGGCACACUAAAUGGUUCUAAGCAAAGGUAGCAAAGGGUGACUCAAUGUUUGUCAUAGUUCGGUGGAGCGUGUGUGGUUUACCGGCACAUCGAAUAGGUGACUGUAACAUGUGAGGGCACCAUGUAAGUUUGCAUGGUUAUUCACACCCGCUUUGUGAUCCUCGGCAUCCCAGUCACAAACAAGAGGGGCAUAUCGAGAUUUAAACAUGCCAUUGAAAGUUCAAUGAAUCUCAAAGGAUCUAGGAGUUUUCAUAGAUUUAAAACUUAAAUUUCUUUUUCGUUUUUCAUGGUGGAAAUUAGUGAAUCGUCAUUCACUUACCUUCAAAUAUUCUGCAAUUAGGGUUACGGCAUCCCUCUCCCGAGUUGUAGAAUAUUGUGUUGGGUCCUAGCCUUAGUAUCUCAUUUGGGUGAUUUACUAAGGACUCAAUCAAUCAACUAACUUGAAUUCGUUUUCUCCCGUUUUGUAGAUGUCAAAGUUCGACAACUAUGGUCUUCCCAAAUCCCGUGGAACAAGCAUUCCACAUGAAGAUGAUAUUCCACGAUUCGAUCGAGGAACAAGAAAUCAUGCUUCACUUCCUCCUCCUCCUCCAAUUAUUCUCCCUAACCCACAAGUUCAAAGGCUUGAAAAGUUCAAGAUCACUCAAGCCCUUUUGGCAAGUAAACAUAAAGAAGGAAAGUCGGUGUGUGCACACGUCCUAGGGAUGAAGUCACACAUUGAUAGGUUAAGAAUGUUGGGAUCCGUUGUCUGUGAGGAAAUGGCUGUUGAUUGGGUUCUUCAGUCACUUCCUAACUCAUAUAGUGAGUUCGUAAGAGAGUACUAUAUGAUGAACCGCGACGUGACCCUUAUAGAUCUCACCUAUAUGCUUAUUGCUGCUGAAUCAGCAAUGGUUUGGCGCAAUAGAAAAGCAAAGUUGAUUGGUGAAUCUGCCUUCAAGACCUCUAUGGAUAUAGACAAUGGCAACGAAAGACAUGCUAUGAUCGAAAAGUUUGAUCAUAAGAGAAAGGCAAUGUCUGAAGUAGUUCCAUGUCAUGUUCCAAAAGAGUCAAUUUGCUUUUAUUGCCAAGAGAAAGGGCAUUGGAGACGAAGCUGCCCCAUUUACCUAAGAGAUCUAAGAGAUGGGAGAGUCGAAACGUAUGGCUCUAAUAUAGGUAAAAUCCAUUAACUAACUCUUUUAAGCUUCUAUUCUAGAUUCUUAAUACAUAAUGUGAUAAGAUUACAAUUGAUGUUUUGUAGGAUCGAAGAAAAGAAAGGAAGCUUAAGGGAAGAAGUGAGCAGAAUCUAACCGUGAAGGAAUGGAUUUCGAUCGCAUUUCUCGAAGAUUAGAUUCUUGAGCUACUACUUAGAGUUAGAAUUAGAUUGCUAAGAAAGAUGUAUUAGCAUAGUUUUUCAAUGAAUUGCAUUGUAAGGACAAAUUUUUUCCGCAAUAAAAUAAAUUUUGAUUUUAUAUUAUUUAUUUAUCCUUGCAAUGGCGUAUAUGAAAAAUUGAUGUUUGAAUGUUUCUAUUAUUAGCAAUAAUGGAUUUGGUUCUUAUUAUGUUAUUUAUGGAAAGUCGAGAGUUUACCAAAUAGGGAGAGUUUCUCAUCGCCCAAGUUUCAAUUGGACAGAAACUUGGAAUCAUGCAACUUGGUUGCACGAUGAAUGAGAAAUUUCAUAUUUGGAAAUUAGACUAAUUCAUUGACAAAGUGUCAAGUGAAGGACUAGGAGAUCGAGUACACAAAGUUGCGUGUUGAUCAAGUCCACCAUAAGAGUAACAAAGAUAUUCGUCAUGAUUUACUAAAGGUUUAGUAAAUAUGAUUAUACUUAUAAGAUUAAGUGUAAUUCUGAAUUGAUUGAAAAAGUUUAAAUCAAUAGCAGAACGAAUAAGAAGAAUCAAGUAGGCAGAAAGAUAAAAGUUUCUCCAUUCUAAGAAGAAGGGAGAGUACCUUUUAUGCUUUAUGAUAGGUCUUAAUGAUUAAGAACCAUAUCUCAAUUGAUCCUCUAAGUGAGUCUUAGUACAAUUGUAUGUCUAAGAAGAGGAAUCAAGAAUUGAAGAAAUGGUUAAAUCAAGAAGUCAAUCAUACUUCGUUCCAAAACAAGUCUUAGAGUUAAGAUUGUGACAUUGAGUGAUAAGUAUUAAGAAGGUUUAUAACAUUCAUCAAAUGUGGAAAGUUGUGAUGUCUUGGAUAAGACAAAGACCAACUAGGACCAAUUUAUGAAGUGUUUUGAUAAAAGCUACACUAACUCUUGAAUAUUUGUUUGUCAAGAAAUGUUUAUUGACAAGAGAAUCUUAUAUGUCAAGGAGUCAGUGGGAGUCUUAAUGGUCUUGAAAGGUUUCAAGAACAAAUCAAAUAAACCUUAUCGAUCAUCACUAGCACACGAGUUGAGGUUUACAACCUAUCGUGUUGACAUUAUUUUGUUUCUGUGCCAAUCCAAUCGAGUUAAUUAUGCAUGUGAGUUCUAUGAGUUCUCAUUUUGAACGCAUAAAAGGCAAAGCACCUUAAUCAAUGAAAGGUACAUUGAUAGGAAAGGGUGAGCUGCUUAACUACUUGGAAGACAUGGUGGGCAGCUGUGCUACCAUAAGGCAAGAAAUCAAGAUUAAGAAAGUUCGGUCCAUAUGAGUUUGAAUUUGUCGUAAACUUUGGUUUUAACAAAUUCACAUGGAUAGGAACACAUACACCGUUUAAAUCUAAGUGUCAUAAGAUUUCCUCCUUCAUGAAAAUGAUUGUGAGGAAAUGCUUUCACUAAGAAAGAUUUUAAGAAGAUAGUGAUUGUAAAAUUGCAUUCUCGAAUUCGAUUAUGGUUACGGUAUCCCUUUCCAUAAUUUGAAUUGUGAGGUUUGGCAAUUAGUCUUAAUUGUUUAGACACACAUAUGAACUAUCGAAGGCAAAGGUGUAUAAGUUCAAGAAGCCUUGAUAAAAGAUUAUCAAAGCACUAAGUAUUAGAAACAUGAACUUAAGAAAUUCAAUAAGUAUUGUUUUUCUGAAAGUUAAGAUGUUUAUGAAUACAUGUCGAAGCUAGUGGGAGCAUAAGUGUUAUGUUUUAUAAUAAUCAUCAUGAUAGUGGGAGCAUAAAUGUUAUGAUUGUAUGAUUAUUAAGGAAAGUAUUGCAAGUUGGCAAUAUUAAUUAUAGAAAACAAGAGUCAUACUUUGCAAAGUUGUAAGGAUGGAAUAGUUGUUUUGCUAUAAUUAAGGGAGAGAAUAUUAUGCUUCAUUUCAAAUCUAAAGGCUUAGGUUGAGAAAUGUUAAUAAAUUUAGUCAAAGGUACAUAGUGUGUUCUUAAAAUUUCGAUUAUGAUUACGACAUUCCUCUUCACAAUUCGAAUUUUGAGAACAUAGCAAAUAAAACAUUAUGCGUCGUGUCCCAUACGCUUCGGGUAUAGGAUCGAUUGCAAAUGCUUUAAUGUUUGACCAUUCUAAAAUUUUCCAAAUGUCGAGCGCAUUUAGAGGGAAAAGGGACUAGAAUUGGUUUUGACUAAAAUAAUUAAACAACUAUCAAAGGACAAUCCAAAGUUCGACGAGGAUUGGUCGCUUGUGAGUAGUUGGAAGUAUAGUAUUGGAAAAUAUGGAAAUGUUUCCAUAUUGGAUGGACCAUAUCGACAUUAUUAUGAAUAGAUAAGAUUCUAUUAAGAAUGAGUUGUCAUAUGGAAAAUAUGGAAGCGUGUCCAUAUUGGGAAUUGAAUAUUGAAAAUCUAUGACUAGAUUAGAAACUUUUAUGCAAAAGGAUGUUCAAAGGAAUGUACUUUGAGUGAGAGACAUCAUAUCUAAGGAAUUGUCUUGUAACAAUCUCCGAUAGAGGACUUUGUAAUAUCAUUGGCAAUAGUCUUUGUGACUUUGGUGCAGUGACAUUACGAAAGGAUAGUUGCAUAGAAUGUUAGAAUCUAGCAUAUUCUAUAAGUAGCAAGAAUUUGAUAUUCUUUAACUUAUGAAAAACGGAUUUGGAGUUGUGAAAUGAGAAGGAUUGGAAAUGUGUUCAAUGUGAUCUAUUUCACAAAGUAAGAACCAUAGGUAAACAUUGUGUGCAUGCUAGGAGCAUGGGACAAGUGUUGGAAUUCAAGUAAGAAGUUGAUUACCCGAAACGACAAAUAAUGAGUAAUCAAUAUGGUGAUAAAUAAAAGGUGUUUUAUUUAUACUCAAAGGUUUGAGGCCAUAUGGGAUUAGUAUUAUUCUUGUGUUUCACAUUUGCAUGUUUUGACUUCCAGAAUAAUUGAGUUUAUUAAGAAUAAUCGAAUUAUUCAAACGGGCCACAGUCGUUCAUAUGUUGGAAGUAGAUAUGAAUGAAGACUGUCGUGAAUUGGUGUGUGGAUUGUCUAAAAGAGUAUUAGACAUAAGCAAAUGUUUGCUGCAACGUUCAUGAGUGCUUAUGAAUAUGAUUUGAGCAUUGGAUUAAACCCACGCUCACUUGGAUCACUCCAUGAAUUGUAUCACGAGUGAUUGGUGAGACGAUAACAUCUUAUAUUCUUGAAACCGAGAUGUGUGAGUUGUAUCUUGCAAAUCGGUUGCACAUUGAUAAUAUGUAAACGCACUAGUAACUUGGUGUUAUAAAACAUAUUGUUGUGUGUGAUUCGGUGAGUGAGUGCAAGCAAGCAUUGUAUCAAAGUUUAUCCGUUCCUUUUAUCCAAAGUAGGAUAAAAGCGAUAUCUUUGGGCCCCUCGAUGGUUUAGUGAUGACAAACGUAAAUGCUCGGCCGGGCUAGGGCUAAUUUGAUUUGUUCAAUUAGUCAGUCGUCAUAAAUCGGAAAUCGAGAUAUAGUACAAAGAGAAUGAUUUGAAAUCAUAUCUCAUAUGAUAUCUAGAAUGGAGGAAUAUAUGAUCCCUUAUCUAAGGACACGCGUAUCUGAUAUGAUCAGAGUUGACAGCGGCUUUGGAAAGCUACGAUUGCAGAUCAGGAUCUGAAGUCAUACGCAGAAUAGUUAUUAGACUUAUCCAAGUGGGAGACUGUUGGAUUAGUGUCUAAGUCCAUAACUAUUUUGGUAUGUACUUGACCCAAUGGUGCAUGGUCCUUUUGGGUUGCCUUCACCAAAGCAACUUGAUUGGAGAAAUAAAUAAAGAGAGAGAGGUUAUUAUGAUUUAUUAAUAUGUUAUGAGAAUAAUAUAUUAAAGGAGAAAUCAUAUUUGUUUAAUUAAUAUUGGUCAAUAAUUAAUUAAGAAUUAAUUUUGUGAUCAAGUGUAAUUAAUUAAACUAGAGGGGCUGAAUUGUAAUUAUGUGAUAGUUACAAAAUAAAGUAAGGAUUAUCUUAUAUAUAUGGUGAACGAAUUUGAGGUGUAAAUCCCUUAGAAUUCAACUAGAUAAGGAUAAGGACUGAAAACCUAAUCCCAACCCUAUAUAAAGACCCCUAAGGCCUUGGAAUUCGUGUACUUGAUCCCUAGAGCAUCUAAGGACGAAUUCCUACCUCCCUCCUUUCUCUUUAUACCUUCUCCACUUGCUUAUGGUGUUUGUAAGCCAUUAGAGGAGUGACACUUGUGACUCUAAGCCUUCCAAAGUCAAUUCAAGGAGGAAUUAGGAUUGUUAUUGCUAUAUAACAAUCAAGGUAUGUUCUUAAACCCAUUUAUAUGUUAAUUUUGAUUUCCAUAUGCAAGAAUUAGGGUUUAUAGUCUUGGAUUCAAAGCAUGUACAAUAGAGAAACCUAGAUCCAAGCUUUAGGGUUUGUAUGAGCACAUAGGAUGUCUUAUGACCAAAACCCAUCAAACCUAUCACCAAGUUAAGUGUGAAUCAUGUUCUUUUAGUCCUUCAUGGUUGUGAGAAUGUUGGUUAAUAGCAGAAACAGGUUUUGGUAACCUUCGGGAUCACCUUAGAAGUCAUCUAAAGCUACUUAUGUAUUGGUGGAAUCUGUUCAGUAUCAAUCAUGUAUGGGAUCUUGUUUCAACUGAUAGUGAGGAUGUUUUAUGUUAUUGAUUUAGGUGUUAUUUCAAUUAUCUUUGGUAUUUCUUCUCUCUUUGGAUGAGAUUAUGGGUUCCCUAAGGAUUUGCAUGGUGGUAUUUCAUAUAACCUGGGCAAGAUAGCAUUGGAGCCCUUGGUUUGAAUUAUUGUGCAUGGCACUUUUGGGUUAUAGCCUUCGAACUGGACCAAGAGUGCUAUUGUUAUCUUAUUCUACGGUCGUGUGCGACUGGGUUUUUCGUAAGGUUUUGCUUGGGUAGAAGCAUUGUUGUGCUCAGUUGGCGUUGUGAGGGGGUUGUUUAGGUCCCUUGAAGAUAGAGGAAUGAGUUGGGUAUCUUCAGGAUCGGAGUGUUGGGCGAACGAUACGAUGGCGACAAGGCCGGUGUGAUAUCGAGAGCAUUCCAAACAUUGUCUGAGGGCUAGGGAGGGCAUUCCAAGCUCAUGUUGUGGGCUCAGAGGAAAUCCAAACCUAUGCUGAGGACCUUGCAGAGGUACUCCAGUCAUAAGUUGUGGGCCUAGUGAGCAUGAUGGUUCAUUUCUUCUGCUUUGUGGUAUUUUCAGUGUUGACGCACUGAUGGGAGUCGGGCGAGUUACAAAUCUGUUGGUUGGAUAAAGGGAGUAGUAAGGGUUGUGGGGAGUAUCAGUCAGGUAUCAGAAAGUUUCUAUGAGAGGCAUGCAUUAUAAUUCUAGUUGUUCGCAAGCUGUUUCUAGGGUUUUGAUUUUUAAGUUGGGAAUUGGAUAUGAAGUCACAAGUCAUAAGUUCUUUACGGAUGUCUUGAGUGGAUGCCCAAGUGGAAGUAAACCUGAGCCGAUAAGGGGUUGGAUGUGAUGCGGAAAUUUAUGGUUUGAUCAUAUUUGCUCAUCGAAGCAAUGGUUGGUAAUGGAAUACCAGAGAAAGUCAAGGUUUAUUAAGGUUUUGGUAUAUUAUAUAGUUUGGUUUUGGGUGAAGCUCACGAUCGAUAUGUUUUGAGGAUAAUCUUUGCAUGUUUCUGGUAGGGUCCUUAGUUAGAUACUGGGGGUAGAUUCAAAUGGAUGCUCAUCAGUUUUAGGGAAAGUUCUACAAGAAGGCAUUAUGAGUAUCCUUGUCCGUGGGGGAUUUUGGUGGAAACUCAUGUUGGGAAUCGUGACGGUAUCCAUGCAAGGUCUAUAAUCAGAAAGAUGUGGAUUAAGAAAUCUGUAUGUCAAGUAAUCAGCUGGAGGAUUCAGGAUUUAGCUUAUGUGUUUAUACUCUGGGAUGGUUCUACCUAUGAGAAGACCGGGCAAGUGAUGAGGUUUCAGACUUAUAGCAGCAGUGCAUCGGUCCGACAGCUAAGAAGCCAAUAUUUUGUAUCUCCUUGUGUUCAUCGAAUUGUUAUCAUUAGGAGUUGACUGGAUGGUUUGAUGGAUAACUAUCAUGGAUUUAGCUUUGGUUAGGUAUGGGCGGUUUAUCAGGGAGUCACACCAAUUCGAGACUUGAAGUUUCAGAUAUAGUUGGUUAGGUUUUUGCAUGGGGAGGUGGAUUCGUCUUCUUCAAGUGAAGAGUUAUGUUGUGAUCAGUUGCCUUAGGAGUAUAAGGUUAUGUUCAAGGUUGUGGUUAUGUUCCUCAGGUUGUUGAGCAUGUCGAAGAUGAUAAGGAAUGAUUUCGAGGACGAAAUCAAAUUUUAGCAGGGGAGACUUGUAACAUCUGGUUUCAAAUCACUAAAUUAUUUGGGGACGUGGCCCGAUCAUCAGUUAUCUUAAGGCUUGGGAUCUUGGGGAAGAAAGGAUUUGGCACUUUUUGGAUGAGGGUGUUAAUAUCUAAGUGAUCCGAGUGUUCGAUGGUGUUUCGGAGCCUAAGGGUAUAAUCAUAAUUUGUUAUUUUUGUCCUUUAUGAAUUUUGGGUUUGAUUCGGGAACUUGAAUUCUAUGGUGGGUUGGUAGAGUGUAUGGCUUCUCAUCACCUUUCUGGGGAGAUAAUGUUUGUUGGAAACGGACUUAGAAUGAAGGAGUUAUGGCCUUUUGAAGAAUUUAGGGUUUUUUUGGGAAAAACCUUGGUUCGUGGGGCGUACUGAUGGGUUUUGAGCAUUCUAACACUUCCUAAGUGUACAUGCAACCCUAAUAAACCUUGGAUCUAUGUUUGUCUAAGAUACAUGCAAAUAAUUAUUUUUCCAAGGCUUAUAUCCUAACUAGCAUGGCAUGGGGAACUUGAAUCAAAUAAAGCUAGUAGAAACACUUACCUUGUAGUUGUAGUUGAUUGCUUGGAGUUUUAGAGCCUAGCACCAAUAGUGUGGAUGCCUCAAAUGAAAGUCACAAAUCACCACAAACUUGGAACUUUGAGAGAAUAGUCACCACUUCUCUUGAAAUCGGCCCUCACCUCAACAUGUGUCAACUAGUAGUGAUUUCAAGAACCAAGACCUCCUUUAUAUAGUGUGGUGGAUUAGGGUUACAUCCAUGUAAACCCUAAUACCCAUGUCUCUUCAUUUCCAUGAGAUCCAUGGGUUAAAGCUCCAUGGAGUAUCCAUGGACUUCUCCAUCCAAGCCUAGCCCAUUCCAAAUAAGCAUAAGCCCACACUAUAUAAAUAUAGAAGCCCAUAUUUAAUUAGUAAUAUCUUUGAUCACUAAAUUAAUCCUAGAUUAAUUAUAGAUCACUACUAAUUAAAUAAUAUGAUCUUAUAUUAAUAUAUUAGAACUUAUAAUAUAUUAAUAAAUCAUAACUUGUACUAUUCUCAAAUAUUAUCCAUAAAUUGUUCGGGUGAAGUGCAACCCAAAUGGACCAUGCCGGGUCGGGUCAAGUACAUACCAAAUAUAGUUAUGGACUUAGACACUAUAUCCAACAGUCUCCCACUUGGAUAAGUCUAGUAACUAUAUUUGCAAGUAUAACUUCAGGAACCGAUCAGCAAUCGUAGCUCUUUAAACUCUGUUGAACUAGAACGCGCCAUUUAGAUAAGUGAUCAUAUAAUCCUCUGUUCUAGAUAUCAGCCGGACAAAUACAUGGAACAUUGUCUUGCUUAUUGUCCAGCAUUUGUUUCCCGAUUUCCGAUUUGUUUGACAUAGAACUCAACUGAACACAUCAAUUUAGUUCUGACCGGGCCCGGUACAUAGGUCAAAACAAAAUCAUCGAGGGGCCCAGAUAUCAGCUUCUAAUCCAAGAAGGAACAGAUAAACUUCGACUCAUAUGUUUGUUCUACCACUCAUUGAAUUACACACAAAAGCACGUUUUAUAACAUCGAGUUACCAAUGCGUUUUCGUACAAUCAAUGCAUAACCAACUCGUAAGUAACAAAUCAUAUCUCUAGGUUUGAAGACUUAUAUGAUAUUACCGUCUCACGAUCACUCGAGAUAAAAUUCCAUGAAGUGAUUCCAGUGAGCGUGGGUUGAGUCCAAUGCUCAGAACUUAUGAGCACUCAUGAUUGUUGUAGCCUUGUCCAACACCUUAGACCUCUGCAACCCAUCAUGACAGUCUUGAUUCAUACCUACUUCCGACAUAUGACCGACUGUGGAGGUUUGAAUAAUAUGUUAUACCAAACAAAAUUAUUCUGGAAGUCAAAACAUGCAAAAGAAAUAUAGUAAACGAUCGACAAGAGAUAGCAACACUUUACUCAUAAAUAAAACACCUUUUAUUCAUCAUCAAAUGUCAAUUACACUUUACAAAUUUCUGGGUUAUCUAACUACUAAAACUUAUAUCAUCCUUCAGCCCUAUGCUCCGAGCAUGCUGGAGAUGCUUAACCCUACUCAGUCCCUUCGUGAGGGGAUCUGCUGGGUUCUCAUCCGAUGAUACCCUCUUUGCCACGAGGAGUCCUUCUUCGAUCCGAUGUCUAAUGAAAUGGUAUUUUCUGUCGAUGUGUCUGGAUCUCCCAUGAUCCCUUGGUUCCUUGGCUAAGGCAACAGCACUUUCACUAUCACAGAAAAUUUCCAUUGGCUCUUUAAUAGCUGGUACAACUCCAAGGUCUCCAAUGAAGUUCUUCAGCCAUAUCGCUUCCUUUGCUGCUUCACUAGCUGCAAUAUACUCUGAUUCACAAGUAGAAUCUGCCACUGUCUCUUGCUUGGAACUCUUCCAAGAAAUUGCUCCUCCGUUUAGGGUAAAGACCCAGCCCGACUGAGAGCGGAAAUUAUCCCUAUCAGUCUGGAAGCUAGCAUCACUAUACCCUACAACUCUCAAGUCAUCACUCCCACCGAGGGUAAGGACCCAGUCCUUAGUCCUCCGUAGGUACUUGAGGAUAUUCUUUACCGCAGUCCAGUGUGCCUUGCCAGGGUUCGCCUGAUACCUGCUAACCAUGCUCAAGGCAAAAGCUACAUCGGGUCGAGUACACGUCAUAGCAUACAUGAUCGAUCCUACAGCCGAAGCGUAAGGUGUUCGACUCAUUUCUGCUAUCUCAGCCUCAGUGCUAGGGCUUUGUGUCUUACUCAAUCUGGUGUUACUCUGGAUGGGUAACUCUCCUUUCUUGGAAUCCUGCAUGCUGAAUCUCUUCAGCACCUUAUCCAAGUAGGUACUCUGACUAAGUCCAAUUAGUCUUUUACUCCGAUCUCUCAAGAUUCUUAUCCCUAGAAUAUAGGCAGCUUCACCAAGGUCCUUCAUAGCGAAACACUUCCCAAGCCAGGACUUUACUUCCUGCAGGGUUGGAAUGUCGUUUCCUAUGAGUAGUAUGUCAUCCACAUACAAUACCAAAAAGCUAACUAUACUCCCACUAGCCUUGACAUACACACAAGAUUCAUCUUCACUCCUAGAAAAGCCAAAUUCCUUGACCUUUUCAUCAAAGCAAAGAUUCCAUCUGCGAGGUGCUUGCUUCAAUCCAUAAAUGGAUUUCUCAAGCUUACACACUCUAUUAGGGUACUCGUUGCUGACAAAACCCUCUGGCUGACUCAUGUAAACAUCUUCAGCCAACUUUCCAUUAAGGAAAGCGGUUUUGACAUCCAUCUGCCAUAUUUCAUAGUCAUGAAAUGCAGCUAUGGCUAACAGAACCCGAAUAGACUUAAUCUUGGCUACCGGAGAAAAGGUCUCAUCAUAAUCCACUCCAGGAAUUUGAGAGAAGCCCUUUGCAACCAGUCUAGCCUUAUAAGUGUGUACUUUACCAUCCAUGUCGGUCUUCUUCUUGAAGACCCAUUUGCACCCUACUGUCUUACGACCUGGUACAUUUUCAACCAAGUUCCAAACUUGAUUGUCAUACAUGGAUUGUAUCUCGCUAUCCAUAGCCUCUUUCCAUUUAGCAGACUCGGGGCCUGCCAUGGCUUCCUCGUAGCUGUUAGGGUCAUCUUGACUUACUAGUGUCUCAUCACUAAUAAGUGUCUCACCUUCUGCAGUAAUAUGGAAUCCAUAGUAAUGCUCAGGUGCACUCCUAACUCUCGUGGAACGUCUCAGAGGUACAGAUUUGUCAAUUGGCUCAACAGGAGUUUCCUCCUCAAGUUGAGGGCUAGAGUUUGAAGUUCCUUCACCGCUUGAUUCUUGAAUUUCUUCAAGAUCAAUUUGCCUCCCACUGUCUCCUUGGCUUAUAAACUCUCUUUCUCGAAAGACUCCUCUUCUUGCUACAAAGACCACAUUGUCACUAGGUCUGUAGAAGAGGUAACCAAAGGAUCGCUGUGGGUAACCGAUGAAAAUACACCUCUCGCUUCGAGGUUCGAGCUUAUCAUGAGUCUCGCGUCUCACGAAAGCCUCGCAACCCCAAAUCUUGAUGUGGUCUAGUUUAGGUACUUUACCAGUCCACAUCUCGUGAGGAGUUUUGGCAACUUUCUUUGUAGGGACUAGAUUAAGAAUAUGGGCGGCAGUCUCUAAGGCAUACCCCCAGAAUGAGAUUGGUAGCGUAGCUCGACUCAUCAUGGAACGAACCAUAUCUAACAAGGUUCGAUUACGCCUCUCAGCCACACCAUUCAACUGUGGUGUCCUGGGAGGUGUCAAUUGUGAGACUAUCCCACAUUCCCUUAGAUAGUCGAGGAACUCUGAACUAAGAUACUCACCACCACGAUCGGAUCGAAGCAUCUUAAUGUUCCUGCCCAAUUGAUUCUCGACUUCCUGUUUAAAUUCCUUAAACCUCUCGAAAGUCUCUGACUUAUGCUUGAUCAAGUAGACAUAUCCAUAUCUACUAUAAUCAUCAGUAAAAGUCAAAUAAUAACGAUUAGCAUCCCUUGUGGCAUGUUUGAAUGGUCCACACACAUCCGUGUGUAUAAGGUCCAACAAACCUUCACCCCUCUCACACGAACCUGUGAAGGGUGACUUUGUCAUUUUUCCAAGUAAGCAUGAUUCGCAACUAUCAUCUGACUUUAGGUCAAACGACUCCAAGACUCCAUCCUUUUGGAGUUGGCCUAUGCGUUUCUUGCUUAUAUGUCCAAGACGACAAUGCCAUAAAGAUGCUUUAUCCAAGUUAUUAUUAGUAGAAUCAAUACACAAAACAUUAUUUCCCAAGUUAUCUACAACAGAUACAGCUUCAUACACACCAUCACAAGGUAAUGCUUUAAAAUAAAAGACAUUAUUAUAGAAAACAUCUAUAGAACCAACUUCAUUAUUAAAUGAAAAGGUAAACCCUUGUUUGUACAAAGCAUGAAAGGAAAUAAUAUUUCUUGCCAUUCCUGGCGAAUAACAACACUUAUUCAAAUCUAAACUAAACCCACUACUUAGCGAUAAAGUAUAAACUCCAAUCUUGGUAACAGGUAUAGCUUUCCUAUUCCCCAUGAUCAAGUUUAUCCUUCCUUGCUCCACAUCCUCACUUCUUCUUAGUCCCUGCAAGUCACAACAAAUGUGAAUACCACACCCGGUAUCAAGGACCCAAGAAUUAGAAUGGGGUGAGUUAUUAGAAAUGAUAGUGUAAAUACCUGCAUGGUUGGGUUUAACUUUCCCAUCCUUCACAUCUUGCUGGUAUUUUGGGCAGUUCCGCUUCCAAUGAGCUUUUUCAUGGCAAUAGAAGCAUUCAGCCUCUUUUGGGUCAGAAGAAGGAGUAACGAAACCUUUCUUGGUUCCACUUGAAGAAGAGCCAUCAAGGGUCCGAGCCUUGGUACCCUUAGAAGAGCUCUUUCUCUUCCUCCCUCGACUUUUCCCGAUUGCCAAAACCGGAGUAGAGUUUUGAGUAGGAGUGAUAGCAACCGACUUCCCCUUAAGACCUGUUUCUGCGGUCUUGAGAAGUCCCUGAAGUUUGCUGAGGGUGACUUCUUCCUUGUUCAUGUGAUAUGUCAUGCGGAAUUGAUCAUAGCACGAUGGUAAGGAAUGCAAAAUAAUAUCUAUUGCAAGAUCCUCCGGGAAGUUCACAUUAAGCUUCAGCAAACGAUCCACAUACCUUUGCAUUUUCUGCAUGUGGCUCGUGACGGAUUCCCCGUCCUUCAUCAUGGUUGUUAUCAUGGAGCAGAUGAUUUCAUACCUCUCUUGUCUUGCACUUUGAUGGUAUCUUUCCAUCAAAUCUUGGUGCAUGUCAUAAGGGUAGAAAUCCUCAUAAGACUUUUGGAGUUCCGCUGUCAUCGUGGCCAUCAUGAUGCAAGCCACUUUCGUAGCAUCCCUUUCAUGUGCCCGAAAUUCAGCGAUCUCCUGAGGAGUUGCAGUGGACUCAUCAAUCUCCUUAAGCUCCUUGUCAAGGACAUAUUCUUUGUCCUCGUAGCGGGUAAUCAUCCUGAUGUUUCUGAUCCACUCAUUGAAGUUGGAUCCAUCAAAGGUGACUUUCCCACACAAGUUCAUAAGGGUAAAGGAGCCAUUAGGAUUAGAGCCAGAAGCAUUGUUGAAAGACAUCUGAAGGAAAGAGGACAAGAUUAGUUUAGAUAUAAGAGAGUCCUUAAUAAAACACCCAAAUGUAAUAUUAAGGCUAGGAUCCAAUCACAAUAUAAUAUAACUUAGAAGAGGUAUGCCGUAAUCUAAGCUAUAUCAUAUUUGAAAGGUAGGUGAAUGACGAUUCACCAAUUUCCACCACGAAAACCGCAAUAUUUUAGUAUUAGGUUUUUGAAUGGUUCUUAGAAAUUCCUAGAUUCUUUGAGAUUCAAUGAACUUUUCAAAGGCAUGUUUCAAUCUCGAGUGUGCCCUCCAAGUUUUGUGACUGGGAUACCGAGGAUCACAAAACGAGGUGUGAAGUAACCAUGCAAAUCACUUGGUACCCUUAAAGUUUAUCACUCAAUCGAUGUGCCGGUUAACCACACACGCUCCAUCGAUACUAUAAUAAACCCUAAGUCACCCUUUACCUACCUUGUUAAGUCCAAGUUAGUGUGCCGGUUAACCACACACGCUCCACCAACGACUUAAUCAAAGUGUAAAGUGUAAUUUCAUGGAAUAGCACCUUAUUCACAUUUUUCCUAAAGUAACUAAGAUUGGGAAUUUAAUAAAACAUUUAGUUACUUUAUAAUAUUCAUCAUACUUUGAAUGAGAAUUAAUAAGUCCUUGUCUUACCCGUUCGGCUAACGACCCUCCACCGAUCAAGCAAGCGGUGGGUGAGAGUGGACACCCAUUAAGUCACCAUUUUAUAGGCAACAACCUUAUACCCACCUUAUAGACCGGCUUCGUGAAUGAGGCGUACUAGCGGUAAGACGACUUUGUUCUUAUACAUAUAUAUAUAAUUAUUAAAUCAUAAUAAUAUAAGUAUAAGGGUUGAAUUUUAACUUUUAAAAUUCUAGGGGUUGGAACUAAAGUUUUAACUUAACUUUACUUGUUCCAAAACUUGAGGGCAAGUUUUGUAAACUUUCAAAACUUUUCAUUUCUUGUAACUUAUGAGUUUAAUAGAGUAAUAAAAUGAGGACUUUUCAUUUUUCCUAACUCUUGUGUUCUUUUAAUGGUUUUUAAUCCAAGAGACUUUUGGUUUUCCAUAACUUGAGGACAAGUUAUGGACUCCAUUAAAACACAUUAUGAUCAUGAAUUAAUCUACCACAUAGGUUACAAAUAAUUCCUAUGAUCAUCUAAACAUCAUAAGAACAAGAAUAUGAAUAUGAACACUUUCAAGAAUCAAAAUCACAUUUAAUCUUUGUAAUUUUGAUAACUAGUUGUUGUAAAUGAGUUAGAAAAGACAUUACACCUUCUAAAAUAAGUUUUCAAGUACCAAAACAUUUUAGGGUAAUGAUUCUAAUCCAUUUCCAGCAACUCAAGUCGAAAUUCUGCACUCUGUCGACCCUACUCGCCGAGUGCAUAAACCUACUCGCCGAGUAGGUUGAAGAUACACAUGAACUCGACGAGUCCUCCCCAUGGACUCGCCGAGUCCAUCAGUCAGACAGCAGAAUUUUCGACUUUCUUCAACUUUUAAGCACAAAUAACAAACAAACAAGCCUAGGCUCUGAUACCACUGAUGGGUUUUGAGCAUUCUAACACUUCCUAAGUGUACAUGCAACCCUAAUAAACCUUGGAUCUAUGUUUGUCUAAGAUACAUGCAAAUAAUUAUUUUUCCAAGGCUUAUAUCCUAACUAGCAUGGCAUGGGGAACUUGAAUCAAAUAAAGCUAGUAGAAACACUUACCUUGUAGUUGUAGUUGAUUCCUUGGAGUUUUAGAGCCUAGCACCAAUAGUGUGGAUGCCUCAAAUGAAAGUCACAAAUCACCACAAACUUGGAACUUUGAGAGAAUAGUCACCACUUCUCUUGAAAUCGGCCCUCACCUCAACAUGUGUCAACAAUUGUGAUUUCAAGAACCAAGACCUCCUUUAUAUAGUGUGGUGGAUUAGGGUUACAUCCAUGUAAACCCUAAUACCCAUGUCUUUUCAUUUCCAUGAGAUCCAUGGGUUAAAGCUCCAUGGAGUAUCCAUGGACUUCCCCAUCCAAGCCUAGCCCAUUCCAAAUAAGCAUAAGCCCACACUAUAUAAAUAUAGAAGCCCAUAUUUAAUUAGUAAUAUCUUUGAUCACUAAAUUAAUCCUAGAUUAAUUAUAAAUCACUACUAAUUAAAUAAUAUGAUCUUAUAUUAAUAUAUUAGAACUUAUAAUAUAUGAAUAAAUCAUAACUUGUACUAUUCUCAAAUAUUAUCCAUAAAUUGUUCGGGUAAAGUGCAACCCAAAUGGACCAUGCCGAGUCGGGUCAAGUAUAUACCAAAUAUAGUUAUGGACUUAGACACUAUAUUCAACACGUACAUGGGGAGUAUGCAAGGUGUACUUAUGCGAGGGCAUUUACUUUGGGCAUACUUUGGCGUAUGUUAAGCGUAGUCAGCAGACUUGGUCGCGAGGGUUCGGCCUUGUACGUUGGGCGUACGAGGAGUACGCUGGGCAUACAGGGGGUGUCUAAAACCUAAAUUUUGAUCAUUUGUACGCUAUUCGAAUAUCCUUAUUCCUUAGGGUUGACCUCCUUAUCAGCCUCUAAAGCCCCAUACACCCUUAAAGCGAGUCUUAGCCUCCAUUCUUGGGUGUUUGUGCCUUCGGUGAGGAUUUUGUGCUCAUUUUGUGGAUCUAGAAGAUGAAGGAGGAACUUGAAGACUUAUUGUUUGAAGGAAAGCUUUGAGGUCACCUAAUUGCAUCUACUUUUGGUAGUUUGGGAGGUAUAAAGUCCCAACCUUGCCUUUUCAUUUCAUAGAUCUUCUUCUUGGUUGCUUUUUGGUCAUCUUGAUUCUUUUGGUUGAUGAUUAGGAGUUUAAGUAGUUUGUGAAGCUUGUAAUUGUAGAUCUGGUUGUAUCAUGGGUUCCUUGGGCAAAAAGGUGCAAAAUUUAUGGCGGUUUUGGUUCCAUGCAUGUAUUAAGUCAAUUAUUAAACUCUUUUGAUCCCUAGAGUCCCAUUUAGCCAUGCAUGCACGUAAAGUUGGCAACUUUAUGUGAUUAACCACCACAGGGAAGUCAUAUCUGAUUUUGGAUCAAUGUCAUGAUGGAUUAAGUGCUUAAUUGGAAAUUCGCUUUGGGCUGGUAAGUACGCUAUGCGUACAAGCCUCCCAUGUUGUACGUUGAGCGUACAGGCUGAGUACGCCUCACGUACUUAGCAUGAUUGAGCCUUUUCGUUUUGGGCUGGUUCGUGUUGGGCCACCUGAAUUUUAUGGUUGGGCUCUUAUGACUUGACAAAAUUUCUUAGGUACAGGCCCACAAAAGGAAUUGGGCCCAAUUUGGAAAAUUGGGCCAUAUUUAGGCUUUAGCUGUUCAUUUUUGGAUUUUGGCCCUUUGGUCAUCUAGUUUGGGCCUUGGCUUUAGGCCAAGCUUGAGGAAAGGGUAAAAAUGUCUUUUGCCCUAAUUUAGACUCAUUGUGUGAGUCAGGGGCUAGAUGUUGAUGGGUUGUCAUUUUGGUAUCUAAUAGCGUGUGGAUUUUAGUAGAUAUGCAAUCAUAGAUUAUUGGUGAGAUCAGCUGUUGAUAGGGUGUUGUCUUGUUAUUCGCGGUUCGAGAAUUUGUCAACCAGCAGCCAGGAAUCGUCUAUAUGAUUCGGCAGUGAGAGGUGUGUUUUCCUCACUAUACUUAUGGGUCGAAGGCACCAAGGCCGGCCCAUUGGUUGGAUAACCUGAUAUUGUUGAUAUGUUGAGUAUGGAAUAAAUAUGCAUGCUACUCUUGUUAUGCUAGUAUGCAAUAGAUAUGCAUGUAGUCAUUUAAACUAUCAUCCCAGUUCAUGUUGUUGUUAUAUAUAUGCUAUUGUUUGUGUGUUUGUACUUUGGGGGAAGUCACUAAGCUUUGUGCUUACAGUUUUGUUUAUGGUUUUAGAUUCUUCAGAUGAUUCAUGACAAUGCAACGGCGUGAUCGUACACAUCCUUGGUAACAAAUUCGAUAUUGGGAGUCUCUGAUUUUAAAUCAUUUUUUGGAAAUAAUUGUUUUUAUAAACACUUUUGUCAAUAAAUGAGUUGUUUUGAAAAAUUAAAAUUUGUUGAAAUUUUUGGGGAUGUUACAGUGCGAAAGCGGUGCUCCCACUCAAGAUUCUGAGUGAAUCGUUAUGGGUAACCGGUUUUGACGCAGGCUCGAAUGAGGUAGAGCGACGACAAGACCUAGACAUGCUAGACGAGAAACGUCAAGCUGCUCGACUUCGAAAAGCGUCCUACAAAGACCAUACAGAAAGCUUUUACAACAAACGGUUAAGGGUAAAGAACUUCAAAGUUGGACAAUGGGUGCUGAGGAAGAAUAAGGCUAGCUACUCGGAGCCAAUGAGCAAGCUAAGUGUGACCUGGGAAGGACCAUACAAAGUAGUGGGGACACACCGAGAUGGAGCUUACACAUUGGAAGCACAAGACGGGUGACCGAUACCUUGAACAUGGAAUGCACGCAACCUGCACCACUUUUAUUUGUAAAACAACUAGCAAAUGGUAUAACAAAAGGAGGGGUAGUGAUGCCCAGACCCCCAGUCUAAGAACUACGCCUCGGUCAAAUGUUGACAUGAAGAUCAUUAAGUUGUCUAUAAAAGUUUCUGACUAAUAAUAUUUCACAAGAUAGUAGACUAACCUUACUAGUCGACAUACGCACAUACAUACAAAGACAUAAGUAGAAAUACAAGGAACAAAAAUAGCGAAAAAGGGGUGCGUGAAUGUAACACCGUAAAAAUUUAAAACAAUUUUUCACUUUUGAAAACACAUUUUUAAUUAAACCAUUCAUUCACAAAAUGUCAUAACAUCAAGUUUUCAAAUCACAAAUGUAUCCCAACAUCAAAAUACAUCCAAUCCCAUAUAUGUGUAUGAAUCAAGCCGGCGCCUUCCCGCAGUCAUCACUGGUACCUGAAACACAUAACACUGAACACUGUAAGCAGAAGCUUAGUGAGUUCCCCAAAAUACCACACUAAUCACAUAAUAGCCACUCGAGGAUGUAACUCUGUUGACCAUCUGGUCAAUGUGUCUCAGUGGGGCCCUCCAGCCCUAAAUCUCUGUGGCCCCUCUGGCCGUAACUCUAGCGACCCGAAAGUCCCAACUUUGUAACUCUGAAUCAUGCAUAUCACAUAUCACAAAAAAUCACGACACAUAAUAACAUGCAAUCACACUGGCAUAUAACUCUAUAAUACUCUGUCUCUGAACUCUAUUACCACACUAGGUAAAGUAUAGUGAGAAGACUCACCUCGAGUAUCUCAGUAAAUAUUUGUCUCGGAAUAAAUGUGAUCUAGCCUCCGCCUAAUCACACAAAGUAAUACACCCAUAAAUACAACUGAACUCAACCCUAAAGGUUAACAUGUUCAACGGUCAACUUUGACCGGACUCGGCGAGUUCACUAGGGCGAGUCGGCGAGUCUAUACGUGUCCACUGACUCCCUUGGAUCCUCUCUUGACACGUCGAGUACUUCCCUAACUCGACGAGUUCCACCUGGAAUGAAUCGCGGGGCCACCACGACUCAACUCGACGAGUUUCAAGAACAACUCAUCGAGUUCCGGCUUAACUCAGCCCCCCCUUGACUCUCCCUAACUCACUGAGUCGACGCCUCAACUCGGCAAGACCACUCGCUGAGUAGUUACGGGAAAACUUCAUGCUACUUGCUGAGUCUGUUCUUCAGACUCGGCGAGUCCAUGCCAUGCAUAAACUCAAACUCACUUCUGAGGUCAGACCUGUUCCAUACAAUCAUAGAUCUGGCCUCCCCAGGCAUGAUAAUCACGUAAAGUCCAAACCUUGGGGCUCAAACAACAACUAUUUGCUCAUAAAUGAUGUUUUAGCCCCAUAUCUCAUAACUCUAGGCCAAUACUCUCAUGAACCCUCAUAAAGCUUAAGGAAUAAAGCUUCUCUGGACCUCUAUGGAUCUCAUCUCAAGCCUCAUCACAAAUAGGGACGAAAUGGACAUCAAAUCUAACCAACAAAGGGGUCAAGAAACCCUAAACCCCCAUGUUCAUCAUAACAACAGAAAAGGGAGCCAAAAUAUACCUCCAAGAUGAUGCUCUAAGCUCCAAAAUCGAAGGAUGUGCACCUCCCUUGCCUUCUCUUAGCUAGAAUAUCCUUUGCCUUGCCAAACAAAGCUUCAAAGGUCAACAAUGGCCUCUUCUCUCUCCCAAAACGCUCAAAUCUCUUUAGGGUUUCUCUCUAGGGGUUGGUGGCCGCAAAUGACGGCUAUAAGCCCCUUUAAAUAGGUCUCAAACCCUGGAAAUUAGGGUUUCGUUAAAUAGUGUGGAUUCGCCGAGUCCACUUUUGGACUCGCCGAGUCCAGACGCGAACCCGCGCCCAAAACCGUGAUCCUACUCGGCGAGUUUGGACUCCAACUCGGCAAGUCUCCUCACAAAUCACCCAAAAAUACAAGAAUAAAUAAUACCUGGGAAUCCGGGGUGUUACAGUUCUCCCCCACUAGAACUAGCCUUCGCCCUCGAUGUCUCACUUUGCAAAUAACUCUGGAUGCUGCUCACGCAUCUCACGCUCUGGCUUCCAAGUCAUCUCGGACCCCUUCCGAUGUUGCCACCGAACCAAAACCAAAGGUACCUCCUUGUUCCUCAACACCUUGAUUUUCCGAUCUCUGAUUGCUACCGGUCUCUCAGCAUAAUUCAGGCUCGCAUCCACCUGUAUAUCCUCUAAUGGUACCACUGCCGACUCAUCGGCUAUACACUUCCGCAAUUGCGACAUGUGGAAAGUGUCGUGAAUCUGAACCAACUCUGCUAGCAACUCCAAAUGAUAGGCUACCUUGCCUACCCUCGUGACCACCCUGAAUGGACCAAUAUAUCGAGGCCCCAACUUGCCCCUCUUCCUGAAUCGAAUCACUCCUUUCCAAGGAGAGUAAUUUAGGAGCACAAUGUCGCCAACCUGAAACUCAAGCUCGGAUCGGCGUCUGUCCGCAUAGCUCUUCUGACGACUCUCAGCGGUCAACAACCUCAGUCUGACCUGCUGGAUCUACUCUGUCGUCUGAAGCACGAUCUUAGUACUUCCCAGAACACGCUGCCCGACCUCUCCCCAGCAAAUGGGGGUCCGACACCUCCUCCCAUACAACAGCUCAAAGGGUGGCAUACCAAUGCUCGAAUGAUGGCUGUUGUUGUAGGAAAACUCUGCCAAGGGCAAAUACGUGUCCCAACUCCCCCCGAAAUCCAACACACAUGCCCGGAGCAUGUCCUCGAGCGUCUGAAUCGUCCGCUCACUCUGUCCGUCAGUCUGGGGGUGAUAUGCGGUACUAAAAUGCAGCCUAGUACCCAACUCCUCGUGAAACUUCUUCCAGAAUCUGGAAGUGAAACGCAUAUCUUGGUCUGAGACAAUCGAGAUCGGCACUCCAUGUCGUGAUACCACUUCCCUCACGUACAUCUAUGCUAACUUCUCUGCGGAAGAGCUCUCACUGAUUGCAAGGAAGUGGUCACUCUUCGUCAACCUGUCCACAAUCACCUAAAUUGCAUCGACUCCCCUAGCAGUCCUUGGCAAUUUGGUGAUAAAAUCCAUGGUAAUCUGCUCCCACUUCCAUUCGGGAACCUCCAACGGCUGCAACUUACCAUGCGGUCUCUGGUGCUCGGCCUUAACCCUACGGCAGGUUAAGCACCUCUCAACAAACCACGCAACAUCCCUCUUCAUACAGGGCCACCAAUACUCUCUCCUCAGGUCCAAAUACAUCUUAGUGGCCCCAGGAUGGAUCGAGAAUUUCGACCGAUGAGCCUCUUCCAUCAAAAUGGUACGCGUCCCUCCCACAAACGGUACCCAGAUACGCCCCUGAAAAGUCAUAAGCCCCCGGCCAUCGGUAACGAACUCCGAUACCAACCCAACAACUCGCUCUUUCUUCUGCAUCUCAGGCUGCACAGCCUCAGCCUGUGCCCCACGAAUGGCGUCCAACACUGGAGCUAUCACGGUCUAUCUCAAACAUAUAUCUCGCAAUAAGGUGCUCUCCGCCCUGCGGAUCAGUGUAUCGGCUACAACAUUAGCCUUGCCCGGGUGGUACAGGAUCUCACGAUCAUAAUCCUUGACCACAUCCAACCAUCUCCUCUGUCGCAUGUUUAGGUUGGGCUGAUCCAUCAAAUACUUCAGGCUCUUGUGGUCCGUGUAUAUCGUACACCGAACCCCGUACAGAUAGUGACGCCAAAUCUUGAGGGCGAACACCACUGCCCCCAACUCAAGAUCGUGGGUGGGAUACCUCGUCUCAUGAGGCUUCAGCUGCCUCGAUGCGUAUGUUAUCACAUGCCCUCUCUGCAUCAACACCGCUCCCAAUCCCAAGAUCGACGCAUCACAAUACACCACAAAGUCCUCCAUCCCUUCGGGGAGGACUAACAUUGGGCUUCACAUAGCCUCUGGCAAAGCGUCUCAAAAGAGGUCUGCUGCUCUGGUCCCCAUGAAAAAGCGACACCCUUCCGGGUUAAUCUGGUCAGUGGCACAGCGAUCUUUGAGAAAUCCCUGAUAAAUCUCCGAUAAUAGCCUGCCAACCCCAAGAAACUCCUGAUCUCGGACGGUGAUCUCGGCACCUCCCAACUCAUCACUGCCUCCACUUUGGCCGGGUCGACCAAAAUCCCCUUCUGGUUAACGAGGUGCCCUAGGAACUGAACCUCUCGCAACCAGAAAUCACACUUGGAGAAUUUGACGUAAAGCCUCUCCGAUCUCAGAACUCUGAGGAUCUCCCUCAAAUGCUCCUCAUGCUGCUCUCUGGAUCUCGAAUACACCAAAAUAUCGUCGAUGAACACGAUCACCGACCGAUCCAACAUCGACCUGCAAACUCUGUUCAUGAGAUCCAUGAACACUGUUGGGGCAUUGGUGAGUCCGAAAGGCAUCACCACAAACUCAUAAUGCCCAUAACGAGUCCUGAACGCUGUCUUCUGGAUAUCCUCAUCUCGCACCCUUACCUGUUGAUACCCCGACCUCAAAUCGAUCUUGGAGAACCAAGAUGCUCCCUGCAACUGAUCGAACAAAUCAUCGAUCCUCGGCAACGGGUAACGGUUCUUGACCGUCAGCUUGUUCAACUCCCGGUAAUCAAUGCACAUCCGGUGUGAACCAUCCUUCUUCUUGACAAAAAGGAUAGGCUCUCCCCACGGCGAGCUGCUCGGCCGAAUAAACCCCUUCCCCAACAGCUCCUGAAGCUGCGAGGAUAACUCUUGCAUCUUUAGAGGUGCAAGGCGAUAGGGCACCUUGGCAAUAGGCGCGGCCCCCGGAACCAAAUCGAUACUGAACUCCACUUGCCUCACGGGAGGCACACCCGACAACUCCUCUGGAAAUACGUCCGGGAACUCACGCACUAUCGGAACCUCCUCAACUGACCUCGGUCUCUCUGAAUCAACCCGCGUAUCCAUCACAUACGCCACAAAGCCCUUACAGCCCUGCUGUAGACACUGCCUCACCCUAGCGGCCGAACAAAACGCUGACCCAGAACGUGUACCCUCGCCGUACACCGUAAGAACUCCCCCACUAGGGUCUCGUAUGGUCACCAGCUGUCGCUCGCAGUCGAUAACCGCACCGAAUCUGCUCAACCAGUCCAUGCCCACAAUGACACAGACAUCACCCAUCGCAAUAGGAACCAAAUCAAUCGGGAACUCAACACCGAAAAUCUCGAAUACGCACCCUCGGAUCACCUCUGUGGCAUAUAUCACCCUCUCGUCAGCUAUGGAAACUCUCAGAGGCCGACUCAACGCCUCACGACUAACACUGAUAUGCUGACUAAAAGCCAAAGAUACAAAAGACCGACUCGCACCCGAGUCAAAUAACACCAAGGCAGGUACAGAAUUCACAAGAAAAGUACCUACGCAUAACAUAAUAUAAGCAUAAUAUCUCAACAUCAAAAUAAAUACACGAAAGAAUACAUACCAGCCACGACAUCGGGCGCUGCGCGGACCUCCUCCGCGGUCAACUGAAAAGCUCUCCCUCGUGACCUCGGCGCCUCGGCCUUCACUGGCCGACUCUCGGUAGCUCUGAUGGCGGCAGGGGCAGAUCCCUGAGGUGCUCCUUGUGCUGAUCCCCGCAACUACGGACACUCUGCCUUCCGGUGUCCGGUCUGGUUUCAGUGAAAACAUACUGCAAACCCCUUGGGGCAGUCCUUGGCCAUAUGCCCCUCCUUGCCAUAUUUGUAGCAAGACCCUACUCUGCACACACCGUCGUGGCUCUUGCCGCACUUGCCACAAGUGCGGCCCCUCUGGCUCCCUGAUCUCGAAUCGGCGGGCUUGGCCCUCUUGGCUACCGGCUGAGACUGCACCGGUCGCCGAUCCCUCCCCUGAGACUCAUCCUCUUCCCUAGCCCGAGUCUCCAGCUCUAUCUCCCUCUUCCGGGCAUUUGCCUGAAGCUCGGAAAACGUCCGGUACGUCGAGUUCGCCACGAACUCACGUAUAUCCCUCCUCAGAAUACUCAAAUAUCGAAUCAUACGUGCCUGCUCGGAGGACACGUGCUCUGGGCUGAACAUCGCCCGCUCAUGAAACAUCCUCGUAAUCACUGUUAAAGACUCAGUACCCUGCUUGAGGGUUAGAAACUCCUGGGCCAAAUGCUCCCUCUCCACCUGGGGAACGUACUCAUCUCGGAACAUAGCAGUGAACCUCUCCCAGGUCACUGCUGCAAGCUCAGCAGGCGUAUAGUGCACCGUCACAAAUUUCCACCAGUCCUUCACUCCCAAGCGAAGCUGGUUCAGCGCGAACCGGACUCUCAAAUGCUCAGGAGAUGAGCAAGUAAAGAAACACCCCUCUAUGUCUGAAAUCCACCUCAUCGCCGCAAUCGGGUCCUGGGUCCCGUCAAACUCCGGUGGUUUUGUGUUGCUGAACUCUCGGAACAGCAACGCAUCACCACCCUGUGGCCUCGUCACAACUAUAGCUGCAGUAGCUGCAGCAAUAGCAGCCUCGGAAAGAGCAGCGUACUUCUCAUUGAAUGUCUCUAUCAACAUGGUCUUGAUAGACCCGAACAUCUCUGGUAUCUCUGCCCUGAUGGCCGCAACCACCUCCUCCUGGAUGAUCCUACGGAUCUCCUCAUCCCUCGUAUCACUGGUCCCUGGUGUGUGGCGAGUCCCAACCAUAAUCUCUCUCUCUGAAAUACAAUACAAGAAUAAUAUCAGGGACUCGCUCGAGUAUACUCAUACUCGAGUACUCCAUCCUACUUGUUCCUUGGUACUCCAAAGAUUCUUACUUGGACUGUGCACUGACCCGUUGUCUUCAGUAGUACGGGCCCAAUACUACCGUCCACACCGCAUCAGCAUCCACCCCAAGUCCUCCUCCCAGAGUCCCAAGCCCCAAGCACUCUACUCUCUCUAAUCAUAUGAUACUCACAUCAGAUCUCUCAAAAUCUCAUCACUGCUACCUAACCACUCUGAAAUAUUCAUAGCAGCAAGACUCCUAGACUCAGGCAUCACAUAUCAGGCCACUCUAGUCCUAAUAAGAAUACCUAGUCUACUCUAGCAUGCAUAUCAUAUCUCAUCAGAUAACAUAUCACAUCAUAUAUUAUAACACUUAUAAUGAUGGUUGUUGGGUCGUGUUUUGUAUUUAGUGCUGCGUCUAUUGGGCUUGUUAGCUAGUCCAUUAUGUACCUCCGGUAUGGGCAUGUCCAUCCGUGAGUUUAGUAGGGUUUAGUAUAUAUAUAGGAGCUUGCAUGCAUCCUAGACAGUAACGAUAGAAUAGAACGAUUAGAGAUUUAUUCAGCAAGUUUGUUAUUAUCGUUCUUGUAACCCUGAAAAUCCUCUACAGAGGAAGUUCUUAGUCGAGCUCUGCUGAGGAUUGUUUGAUCUAAUCAUUCGACACAUCUUGAUCCAUACUUGUGUUAUUUAUUGCUUUUACAUUCAUCGCAUUACCUGUUAAGAAGAUCUAAUCGAUCAUUAAGUUUGCUUAUAACUUAUCAAUUGGUAUCAGAGCAGGAGGCUGUGUAAUUCAUACACAUCUUUUCUGUGAAAAAGGUUGCGAUUAGGAUUAUUCUGCAUUAACUAAUAUUUAUUGAGCCGUCAUCCCAUAAUUGACGUAACUCAGCAUUUAUUUGUUUUGCCCUAAUUUUAUAUAUUACAAGUCUGAUCUUUCAAAUAGGUUAUACGAUCAAGCAUGGACGAGUCACAAUCAAAUCCCAUAAACAUCUCAAACAGCAUUGGAUCAACGACGAAGAUUCCCAUCCUUGACACCCAGGAUUACGAAGUCUGGGCACAUCACUUUGAAGAUUAUGUCAUUGGAUCUAAAGACAAUGAAUUUCUUAUUUGGGAAGCAAUCAUGUCUGGACCAUUCGCUCAUUCAGCAACAUCUAAAAUCAUUAAAACUUAGAAAGAGUAUAAUGAUCUGUUGAAGGACGUAAAGAUAUUGAUCAAGAUGAAAAAGAUAAGUUUCAGUGCAAUAUUGAAGCAUUGAGACUAAUCAGAUUCGCUCUUCAAUCGGAUACUUUCAGGCUAGUGAGUUCAUGCAGCACUGCCAAAGAAAUAUGGGAUAGGCUACGAGAGUUAUAUUCCACAGACGAAGAUCUGGAACAUUCAAUUCAGACCUUACUUUUAUCUGAGUUCGGCGAAUUUAAGCAGAAUCCUGAGGAAACUGUUACUCAGACGUUCGAUCGCUUCAAUCAUCUUCUCAGUAAGAUGAUUAAACACGAUAUUGAAAGGAAGUUGAUUGAACAAAAGGUUACGUUUUUGAAUGGUCUUAGAUCUGAGUGGAGAGCGGUUGUGUCCACUGUUAAAGCUCAUGAGCAAUUCAAAUCUUAUUCAUUGGCUAAGCUGGUAGGGAUUUUGAAAUCCCAAGAAAAGAUUGUCUUGCAGGAGAAAAAUGUGGUUUCAAGCUUGGGUUCCUUGGCCCUUCUUUCUAAAAGCAAAAGUGUGAUGGAAGAUGAAGACCUUAACUUAGAAGACUAUGACCUUACCUCUGAAGACUAUGCAAUGAUGGUGUCAAAUCCAAAGAGGUUUAUUAAGAAAAGGUUUCCUACCAAUAAGAACCGGAAUUGGCAGGGAAGCUAUAGUUCUGAAAAAGUGAGGGAGGAACCGAAGGCAGAAGAAGCAAAGAAAGAGCCGAAAGCUGAAGGGGAUUCUGGGGUGAACUGCUACUACUGUGGAGGAAAGAACCACUAUGCCAAAGACUGUGUCCUAAAGAAAAUGGCAGAAAAGGAUGAAGAAAAAGAUGAAGAAGCUGUGUUGAUGAAAAAGCUGGAAGAGAUCAAGAGAAAGAAAACUACUGCUAACCCUUCUAUGAAUGCUUUAAUUGUGCAGGGUUCGGUAGCGGAUGAUGAGUUCGGUGGCGUGGAGGUCUGGUCAACCGACUCUGAGGAUGAUGAAGUCAGAAAGCCAUCUCAUGGAAAGGCUUAUGUUGCGAAAGGUGAAGGAAGCGGUGGAAAGUGUUUGAUGGUGUCGGAUGUAUCUCAAAUGAGGGGAUACAACACAGACGGUGGGAAUGAAGACACGAAGGAGCGAGAGGACUUGUGCUUCACAGCAAAACCUCUCAGCAUGCAGUUUAAUGAGCUUGACAAAUUAAUCAAGAAGGUACAAUCCAUAUUUGUUUCAUUCAAAUUCCCACAAAAUUCAUAUGAAAAAGAAUUAAAAAGCAUAAAUUCAAGAAUCUCAUAUCUAGACAGCAGUUUAACUCAAACACGGGUCACCAAUUCUAACCUAACUGACCAAAUAAGCAGGGUGUCUUCAAAGAGUGAGGAACGGAGGAUGUGGAUAGAGCUGAAGGAGUCGGAGUUGAUCAAAUCCAAAGACGAAAACAUUUAUUUACAAAGAGACAAUUUAAAACUUUUGAAACAAAGAAAUGUGUUUUGUUUGAUUGCUAAGCGUCUUUAUUCUAACAUCACUCAACUUCAUCUUAACUGUGAAAUAGGACAGAAAAUUCAUCGCAUGAUUUUGCCCUUUCUUGAGUUUAAGGAAGAUGAAAUCGACGCUGAAGCAUAUAAUUGCGAAAGUGUAGUUUCGUCUGAGGAUGUAAAUCCGACUUAUAUGUAUGGUCUAGACAAAAUCGAAUCUUUCAUAAAGUCCAAGGACCAUAAGGACAUGCUGAAAAAUCUUUUGGAUGAAAAUGAUAAAUUGAAACUAAGGACCGAAACCAUACAAAAGGUUGACUCAUUGAAUGCCAACUUGAGCUCAGAAACUAAAAUUGAUGUUGAAAAUGCAUCUGAGCUUAAUGAGGAUGAUGAUAUGAGUGAAAUUUCUGUAGAGGAUGAAGUUGAUUGUUCCGAGUUUGUCAAGAGCGAACCCGAAAACAACAAAAAUCUUUCUUCAGAAAAUUCUGUGGAGUUUGCUCGUCUGUCCCAACAAAAGUCCCCGAUCCUUGAAGAAAAGGCCGUUGUAUACCAAAAGGUAAGGACGACUCCAAAUCAGGUGUAUAAGGUCACAGGAGUAACCGAACAUCAGACAGCCGAACUCACAGCCAUUGUAAAUGAAGAUAAUGCUGAUGGUUGUGAUGAGUUCUUCUGGUCCGCCCCUAUCGAUAAUGCUGACGAAACCGUUGGUCUGUCGGAGCGGACGUCCUGGAAAACCAAAGGCAGAUAUGUGCCAGAGCCUUUGAACAAGCCUAAAAAAUUCGACAUGCCAAGUACUAGUGGUACAAAAGAUGUUCCUGAGGAAAAAGGAGUUCCUGCAAAAGAAGUCACUCCUUCAAGCGAAACAUCGUCAGUUCAAAGUGAACCGGCUGACAAGAAGCGAAAGCAAAAAGCCAACAUCCAUCGACAGCCGAAGCAAGUGAAGAAUCAAAAACAGCAAAGGAAUCAGAGAUACAAGAAGAAUCUCUAUGAACGAAAACAGUUUUGGCAAUCUCAAAACGCCCAUUUUUCUUCUCAUGACAGAAUUUCAAAGUCAUAGAAAAGUGCUGUUAGACCGCAAGAAAGUAAUAACAACCAAAAGGAGAUGUUCGGUUCUAAGAAUCAUAACAACCGAAAGGACAAGCUCGGUUCUGAAAAAUAUGACAACCGAAGGCAAAGGUUCGGUUCAGAGAACACCAGCUACCGAAAGCAUAGGUUCGGUUCCGAGAGCAAAAGAGACCAAAGUUCGAGGUUCGGUCCCACAAAUGACCAAAAACAAAAGUGUCACUCAGAAUCUCAAGUCAAUAAAACUUCUCAGUCUAACUUCUCUCGUUCUAAUUCUUCUAAUUUCUCUCAACCUCACUCUAAAUCCAAUUCUGUUCAUACUCAUAAUCUAAAAUCUUCAACAGAUUUGAAAGGAAAAUCGAAGGUUUCCUCAGUCAAGACAGAUCAAAAUCAUCCCAAAGUCCAAAUACCUAAACCUGAAUCCAAACCGACAGUAACUAAUCCCAAUAAAAUUAAGGUUUUCACCAUAAAAAGAAAGAUGAAACAACUUUAAUAAAAAGAACAUAUCUUGUUGACAUCUCUCUUACUAUUCCUGUACCUGAGAAAGGCUUACGUGGACCCAAGAAACUUUGGGUUCCUAAAUCUGCUUAAUUUUUGCAGGUUAUCAGUGACGAGCAGUUUGACGAAGAAUGGUAUAUUGACAGUGGCUGCUCACGUCACAUGACAGGAAGGAAGGAAGAGCUGAGGGAAUUUCGGUCUCUUUCAAACGGGGGAAAUGUCAAGUUCGGGAACAACUCAUUCGGCACGAUAAAAGGCUAUGGAAUGAUAACAAAUGGAGAUUUCAUGAUUAGAAAGGUUGCAUACGUUGAAGGACUGCAGCACAACCUCAUCAGUGUAUCUCAGCUUGUUGGAGGUACUGCUCUCAAGGUCUCAUUCGACGAUGAGGGUUUAGAGAUAAUAGAGAAAAAAACGAAAAGAGUAAUUCUCAAAUCAGAGCGCAAAGGCGAAAUGUUUCCCCUGAAUCUCAAACCCAUCAAAGGAAAUCCAGCUAUCUGCCUGUUAUCCAAAGCACAAUCUGACGAAAGCUGGUUGUGGCACCGAAGGCUCUCUCAUCUCAACUUCAAGGAUAUCAACAAACUUGUCACAGGUGGUCAUGUUCGAGGUCUUCCAUUGCUCAAAUUCGAUCGAGAACAUUUAUGUGCUGCGUGUGAAAUGGGGAAGCAGAGUCGUCAAAGUCACCCAUCGAUUGUAAACACUAAAGUUGUUGAACCACUAGAGUUAAUUCACAUUGACUUGUGUGGUCCAUCAUCUAUCGAAAGCAUCGGCGGUAGCAAGUAUAUUCUUGUCAUUGUUGAUGACUUUUCACGUUUUACAUGGGUGUUCUUUCUGAAGCACAAAUCUGAAGCAACUCUCAAGCUAAAGAUGUUUAUCAAGCAGGUUGAAGUGCAGCUGAGGAAAGUCGUUCGCAACAUCAGGAGCGACAAUGGGCUGGAGUUCAAAAAUAAAGAAUUCGAAGACUUUUUAGCAGAAAAAGGAACCAGUCACAACUUCUCAGCUCCCUACACCCCUCAACAAAACGGGAUUGUCGAAAGACGAAACCGAUCUUUGUGUGAGGCGGCCCGAACCAUGCUACGUUUUGCUUCUUUACCUUUAUAUUUUUGGGCUGAUGCUAUUGCUACAGCAUGUUUUACGCAGAACAAGUCAUAUCUUAAUAAACGCUUUAAUCUCAGUUCUUAUGAGAUCAUCAACAACAGGAAACUAAACGUCAAAUUCUUCCAUGUAUUCGGCUCACGGUGUUUCAUCUUCAAUUCUAAAGAACAUCGUAACAAGUUCGACGUAAAAGCCGAUGAAGGGAUAUUUCUGGGAUACUCUCUCACUUCGAAAGCAUACAGGGUUUUGAACAAGCGUUCGAGGAAGAUUGAAGAAACUUAUUAUGUGACUUUCGAUGACAGCUAUGUCAAAAAGCUGANUGAAGAAACUUAUUAUGUGACUUUUGAUGACAACUAUGUCAAAAAGCUGAAGGCCAGUGAAGACACAGUUAGAGAAAUUUUUUCUCAAACAGGCCAAGUCACAGCUUCGAUUGCAAACCUGUUUGAGAAGUUUGUUGAGUUAUUCGAUGAACCAGAGAAGGCUACACUCUCGGAAGCUAGUGCAGCAGACAACAAAGUAGAUCAUCUGAAGCAACUCAUCGAAGAUGCUGCCAAGCAAAUGAAUGAAGGAGGAUCAAGUCCAAACAACCCUCCACAGCACGAUGCUUCAGUUGAGGGGGAGGAUCCACCUUCUUCAUCACAGUCGGGCUCACAUGUUGAGGGGGAGAACUGUUCUCCAGCUGCUCCCGAAAGCCCAGCUGUACCCGAAAGCCAAUCUGCACCCAAAAGUCCUGUGGUACCCGAAAGCUCAACACCACCCGAAACUCCUGUAGCUCCGGAAAGUCAAGAUACACCUGAAAGCUUAUCUGUCGAGGGGGAGAAUGCAGAUAUGUCUUAUGACGAUGAUAGUCAAUCUGAACUAGAAGAGCUGGUAAAUGCUGAAUUGGAUCCAUCCUAUGAUCCAAAUUACCCUCCUCUUGUCAAAUGGACCAGAGAUCAUCCUGUUUCACAGGUUGUCGGUAAUGUCUCUGAAAAGGUCCUGACCCGAUCUCAACUAAAGGCAAAGCAAACUUCCUUAUUUUCAAAAGUAGAGUUCUGUAUGUUUAACUCCUUCGUCUCAAAAGUUGAACCAAAGACAGUUAACACUGCUCUUGAUCACUCCGAUUGGGUUCAAGCUAUGCAAGACGAACUUAAUGAAUUCGAAAGAAAUAAAGUUUGGCGCCUCAUUCUAACUCCUUAAGAUGCCUCGGUUGUUGGUCUCAAAUGGGUCUUUAGAAAUAAGAUGGACAAGGAAGGCAAUUUGAUAAGAAACAAAGCUCGUCUAGUGGUGAAAGGAUACUGCCAAAAGGAAGGAAUCGACUAUGAGGAAACUUUUGCUCCUGUGGCUAGGCUGGAAUCUGUUCGAAUAUUUCUUGCCUAUGCUGCACACAAGAACUUUGAGGUCUACCAAAUGGACGUAAAGUGCGCAUUUCUAAAUGGAGAACUCGAAGAAACGGUGUACGUGGAGCAACCUCCUGGAUUCGUCAAUGAAAAAUAUCCCAAUCACUGUUAUAUUCUGGACAAAGCGGUAUAUGGACUGAAACAAGCACCGAGGGCCUGGUAUGAAACGCUAACCAAGUUUUUAAAGAUGUCCAAAUUCAAACAAGGUUCGGUUGACCCAACCUUCUUUCGUAAGAAGGAAGGUAACCACCUUAUGAUUGUUCAAAUCUAUGUCGAUGAUAUCAUCUUUGGCUCAACGAAUCCUAGCUUAACGGCUGAAUUCAGAAAGCUGAUGGAGACUAAAUUUGAAAUGAGCUCAAUGGGUCCGAUUAACUUUUUCCUUGGUUUAAAUAUUAGACAGGGACCCGAAGGCAUCUUUAUUAACCAGGAAGCUUACACCAAGACUCUCCUUGCUAAAUUUGGCAUGAUGGGAGACUCAAAGGUUAAAGUUCCAAUGGCGUUCGGCACCAAGCUCACUCCAUCCUUGGAUAAGCCAGCAGUCGAUAUUACGCUAUAUCGCCAAAUGAUCGGUUCUUUAAUGUACCUUACUGCUAGCAGGCCUGAUAUAAUGUUUUCUGUUUGUUACUGUGCUAGAUUUCAGGCAAAUCCUCGUGAACCUCACAUGCUUGCAGUGAAGAACAUACUCCGGUAUCUCAAGCGAACUACCUCUCUCGGCUUAUGGUAUCCAUCCAACUCAGGUUUCUUCGUUCAAGCCUAUUCAGAUGCAGACCUUGGAGGUUGUGGACUAGACAGGAAAAGCACCACUGGAGGCUGCCAAUUCCUUGACGGGAAGUUGGUUAGUUGGCAAUCAAAGAAACANNNNNNNNNNNNNNNNNNNNNNNNNNNNNNNNNNNNNNNNNNNNNNNNNNNNNNNNNNNNNNNNNNNNNNNNNNNNNNNNNNNNNNNNNNNNNNNNNNNNNNNNNNNNNNNNNNNNNNNNNNNNNNNNNNNNNNNNNNNNNNNNNNNNNNNNNNNNNNNNNNNNNNNNNNNNNNNNNNNNNNNNNNNNNNNNNNNNNNNNNNNNNNNNNNNNNNNNNNNNNNNNNNNNNNNNNNNNNNNNNNNNNNNNNNNNNNNNNNNNNNNNNNNNNNNNNNNNNNNNNNNNNNNNNNNNNNNNNNNNNNNNNNNNNNNNNNNNNNNNNNNNNNNNNNNNNNNNNNNNNNNNNNNNNNNNNNNNNNNNNNNNNNNNNNNNNNNNNNNNNNNNNNNNNNNNNNNNNNNNNNNNNNNNNNNNNNNNNNCUCGGGUUCGGUUGCAUAAUCUGCUUUUCGCUCAUCACUCAAAGGUAGUUUCCUUGGUUGUAGAUCUUAUGUAUAAUUUUUCCAAAUUCAUUUAUCUUAUUGUCAAAGUUAUUCUCUUUUUCAAACUUAUUUUCUUUGGCAACCGAAAUAAACCGAACGUUCGGGUGCGGCUCCAAAAAUUUUCUCACCCGAAAUAGACCGAACGCUCGGGUUCGGUUCCAAUUUUUUUUUUUUUUUUGUGUUUAUUUUUUUGUGUCUUAUUUUUUUUAUUUUUCAUAUUAUCAAAAAUUCCAAAAAUAUUUUUUCUCGUAAAUUCAAAAACUCCAAAAAUAUUUUAAUUUUAAUUUUUUUUUAUUUUUCAUAUUAUCAAAAAUUCCAAAAAUAUUUUUUCUCGUAAAUUCAAAAACUCCAAAAAUAUUUUAAUUUUAAUUUUUUUUUAUUUUUCUUUUUUGGCUUCUAAUAUUUUUGUCUACUUGUGGGUAUAUCAUUUCAUUAGCUAAGUGUCCCUAGAAGCAUGCUGCUGUAUGUGUCCAAAGCCUCACCUGAUUCUGAAUAAUAAGCCUUACUGACUUGGUAUAAACAAACCUUGUCUUCCCAAUUAGGCUUUCAUAUUUAUUCUAAUCAUGAGCUACCUAACUCUCUUCUCACAUGAGAUAUGAGUUUUCUGCUUGGUCCUAUUUUUUAUAGUAGAGGUACUUUGAUUUCUUUACACCAUCUACAUUGCAUUUCUCCAUCACAUUCGCUUCACAAACGUAACCCUUGAGACUCUCUGAAAUUACCACUGAGGUUUAUGGUUGCACAAUUUCUGUGUUUAUGAUCUUAGCUUUGUGCCACUACGUGCUAAGUGAAACCCAAUAUUCAAAUACCCAAGAUGCAAUGACGGUGAACAAUUAAUUUGUUCUAGCUUUCACUGAUGAAUUGACGGACUUAUCCAUGGGGGUACAACAUGAAAUCUCUAUUUUUCUUUUGAGUGAUUCCUAUGAAAUUGUUAAAUACAAUAACAUUUUUCUUCCCUUGGGAUCCAGUUUUAAUUUUUGUUGAGAUUUUAUACAAUUCCUAGCCAAAUCAAAUUAUCUCCAACCUACUUGUUCAACAGACUACACCGGUCUCACAAGUACUUCGUUCGAUUUCUAUCUUAUAUCAAGAUUAGGAAUUUUGAAUCGAAGCGAAAGCCACCCUAAUAAGCCUAAUUAAAAGAAGCUUUCAACACUAUUUAAAAAGUGUCUGAUCGUUAUUCAACGGGAAACCACACAAACACUUUAAGAUCUCUAUUGACUUUGAAGGAAGAGAUUCGUGCCCGGGAUCAUUUGUUUCGUGUCUUUAUUGACAUCACAUAUUUUUCCAAAAGUGUUGUUUUAUUUCUUUUCUUUUACACACUCAGCACGAAAAUCUUUUUGAUUUUCCAAAAUUAUGGUUCUAUUAAUUUCAAGGAGUUUUAAUUGGCUUGGUUGUUAUAAAAGAUUGUGGUGAAUUUUAAUCCACGUGGGAGAAUUUUUAACAGAUGCCGUUACAAUUUAAAGGGAUAAGAUGACGACAUGAUGACUCAGGCGGGAGUCCAAUCGAUUUGAUUUCAAACGGCCCAAGAGGGAAAGCGUGCGAAUCGGAACCGUUUCAUCUCCAAACGGCGCCUAAUGGGAAGGCGUGUAAUUAGGGCCGAAGGUGCACCCGAAUCCCUCAAACCUAGGCUCUGAUACCAAUUUGUAACAUUGUAAAAAUUUAAAACAAUUUUUCACUUUUGAAAACACAUUUUUAAUUAAACCAUUCAUUCACAAAAUGUCAUAACAUCAAGUUUUCAGAUCACAAAUGUCUCCGAAGAUCAAAAUACAUCCAAUCCCAUAUGUGUGUACGAAUCAAGUCGGCGCCUUCCCGUGGUCAUCACUGGUACCUGUAACACAUAACACUGAGCACUGUAAGCAUAAGCUUAGUGAGUUCCCCAAAAUACCACACUAAUCACAUAAUAGCCACUCGAGGCUGUAACUCUGUUGACCCUUUGGUUAAUGUGGCUCAGUGGGGCCCUCCAGCCCCAACUCUCUGUGGGCCCUUUGGCCCUAACUCUAAGGACCCGAAAGUCCCAACUCUGUAACUCUGAAUCAUGCAUAUCACAUAUCACAACAAAUCACAACACAAUAUAACAUGCAAUCACACUGGCAUAUAACUCUAUAAUACUCUUUCUCUGAACUCUAUUACCACACUAGGUAAAGUAUAGUGAAAAGACUCACCUCAGGUAUCUCGGUAAAUAUCUGUCUCAGAAUAAAUGUGAUCUAGCCUCCACCUAAUCACACAAAGUAAUACACCCAUAAAUACAGCUGAACUCAACCCUAAAGGUCAACACGGUCAACGAUCAACUUUGACCGGACUCGGCGAGUGCACUAGGGCGACUCGGCGAGUCUAUACGUGUCCACUGACUCCCUUGGAUCCUCUCUUGACACGUCGAGUGCUUCCCUAACUCGAUGAGUUCCACCUGGCAUGAAUCGCGGGGACACCACGACUCAACUCGCUGAGUCUCAAGAACAACUCGGCGAGUUCCGGCUUGACUCAGCCCCCCCUUGAUUCUCCCUGACUCACUGAGUCGACCCCUCAACUCGACAAGACCACUCGCUGAGUGGUUACGGGAAAACUUCAUGCUACUCGCUGAGUCUGUUCUUCAGACUCGGCGAGUCCAUGCCAUGCAUAAACUCAAACUCACUUCUGAGGUCAGAUCUGUUCCAUACAAUCAUAGAUCUGGCCUCCCCAGGCAUGAUAAUCAUGUAAAGUCCAAACCUUGGGGCUCAAACAACAACUAUUUGCUCAUAAAUGAUGUUUUAGCCCUAUAUCUCAGAACUCUAGGCCAAUACUCUCUUGAACCCUCAUAAAACUUAAGGAAUAAAGCUUCUCUGGACCUCUAUGGAUCUCAUCUCAAGCCUCAUCACAAAUAGGGACGAAAUGGACAUCAAAUCUAACCAACAAAGGGGUCAAGAAACCCUAAACCCCCAUGUUCAUCAUAACAACAGAAAAGGGAGCCAAAAUAUACCUCCAAGAUGAUGCUUUGAGCUCCAAAAUCGAAGGAUGUCCACCUCCCUUGCCUUCUCUUAGCUAGAAUCUCCUUUGGCUUGCCAAACAAAGCUUCAAAGGUCAACAAUGGCCUCUGCUCUCUCCCAAAACGCUCAAAUCUCUUUAGGGUUUCUCUCUAGGGGUUGGUGGCCGCAAAUGACGGCCAUAAGCCCCUUUAAAUAGGUCUCAAACCCUGGAAAUUAGGGUUUCAUUAAACAGUGUGGAUUCGCCGAGUCCAGACGCGAACCCGCACCCAAAACCGCGAUCCUACUCGGCGAGUUUGGACGCCAACUCGCCGAGUCUCCUCACAAAUCACCUAAAAAUACAAGAAUAAAUAAUACCUGGGAAUCCGGGGUGUUAUAGUGAAUUUGCCAAACGCUAACACGGGCUGAUCACCCACGUCGUUUGAGCAUAACAAACCGCCAACAUGCAUUAAGAAAUCUCAGUAGGAGAUGAUCCCUCUAUGAAAAUGUCGGUUCAAAUAAGUAAUAAAGCUUCUAGGCUCUCGAGCCAGACAUACUCCAAGGGUUCAGAGGAUCGUAACCUUCCCCUGACAACUUAACACACUCUAGUUCAGGGAGUCUCGAUGUGAUGAUCUCGACUCACCUUAAGAGACCACAAAAGAGAGGCAAUUUGUCAUGCAGCUAAGGACCAAAAGCAAGGCCUACAAAAUACUAUUUAAGGAGACACCUCCGCAAACAAAACGAGAAGCUCAUGAAAACAGGAAAAAGCUAACGAUGAAGACCCCACAAUGUCGAAUAUAAUAACAUUCUGCAAGUACAAAAAAAUGAAAAGCAAGCAACAAACAUACAAAAACACACAACAAAAAUCAACCCGGGCAUGGUUUAGUCGAGGUAGCGACCUUAACACCACCGUCUCAAACGAGUUCUUCCUCUUCAGAGCAUAGUUGGUGAAGAUCAGCAAGGUCGAGUUCCCCCAACAGAGAUAGGAUACGAAGUCCGUCUCGGAAAAAGCCCGAUAGCAGCAUCCAUUGCAUUGAUAGACCGUGCCGCAACGUCUGGAUCGGGCGAGCUAGGACAACUGCCAUCCGACCACACUCGUGCCAUCUACUUCCCCCUCUCUAUACCAGCAGCCACGCACGCGACCUUCACACGACAAAUCCCAAAUGUGAACUCGCUAAUCUCGACAACAAAAUCCACCACACAAACCACCCCCUUCUGAAGAACCCUAUCUAAAUCAGCCUCCAAGACUUUCCUCCUCGAGACCUCAACGGCGAACUAAUCAUCUCGUAGUCCCAAGUGCUCCGCCAAUGCUGCUUUCUUCGAGACCAAAUUCUGGACCUGUUGGGAUAAGAGACUAACCUCCCCAUCUAGAUUCACCACCUGAGCUUCCAUAGUAGUCUUUUCCUCGGACAGCACGAGGUAGCAUUCAUCAAACUUGCGCCGCUCCUCCUCGAGAAGCCAAACCUUCUCCGCAAGCUCAUCACACUUUUACUUAAUAGCAACCAACUCUGCUAAAUCAGCCGCUAUUUAAUAAAGAUGACCAACGGCUACCACCAAGUAAGGAGCAACCUUAGCAGCGACAUACUAAAGAUCAUUAUCCAUGUGAGAAUAAGAAAGAGUGUCGAUGGCCUCCAGGGUAGCCGAAGGAAACACAUGUCGGCACCAUUAACGGGCGGACCCAAUCCCGAUAAAAGGGAACCAGGCGUAAGGUUCCACCCCGAGAGAUACACACCAGGAGCAUUCUAAGACGAAGGACCCGCCGCUGACGGGGCAUCACCUGAAACUGAGGGUGGGACGGAGCGAGUGCCCACAACGCCUGGUUCUCCCAACCGACACAAACCCAUAGUCUCCCUUUCACGAGGGUCGUCACCAUCAGCAAUCUCAAUAACAAUGUGUGACUUAGAGAGCGGAGGAUCGAUGAUGUGUUUCCGACGCAAAUGUCGGCCAUUAGUAUUGCCACUAAUAUCCUCCUCAAGAGCGGAAUCCACAACAUCGGUCCAACAUUGGGAGACGACUUGACCGCUAGCCACACCUGAUCCCCUGACUGAAGAAGCAUCCUUCACCCCCGCCUCGACAGGAGGGACAUCGCCCUUAAAUAACAAGGCCUACUUUGGCUGGAGCCGGUAGCGAAUCCACUUGAGGGACUUUGUGAUAGUGAAGAUCCCCUUCAAAAUCCCCUCGUAGCACCUGUUCAAGAGACAAAAGCCUCUUGCUACCUGCAAUGGCAACAACACAAGACCCCCUUCUUUCAGUAAAAGACACUCGAUAUCAAAUAAAAAAAGGCAAAAAAUGGGGGAAGGAAGGUUGCACUUACCAUCAUUGUCCACAAAAAAUUAGGCAUCGUUCCUUGCGACCGCCAAGCAACGCUCAUUCUGGCUGCUGCCAAUACACAGUCCGACCAAUCUUUGCCAUUAUGAAAAAUCCCUCUUAACGCAUGAGACACCGAAAAACUGAUCCCCGACAGUUGGGGCUCCCGACCCGAAGCCAUGGGCACAUGAGGAUAUCCAGCCCCGACCAAAUCACUAUUAACCCACAACCACCGAUCCUAGCAGUUCUUCUGAGGCACUUUAUGGUUAACUAUAAAGGAAUGCGUGUUCCAACGCAGAGAAAAAGUAUGAACACCCAAAUGGGUAAAAAAAUUGAAGAAAGACUGGAAUGCUUGAAGAUGGGGAAGCACACCCAACUCUCGACACUUUAACUAAAACCUAACUAUCUUGUUCACAAGGUUUGGGGUUAAGUCGUGAACAUAGAAACCAUAUUCUUGCAUAACCUUGUCUAAGAAAUCAGAAACAGGAAGACAAAAUAGGGCCUACCCACCUUCCCCGUUGGCGGUUGAUAAAUUGUAGACCUUUCCGACGGAAUUGAACUACAUGCCCAGGCAUGAACCCAAACUAGAAUUGAAGAGACUCGAACUCCUCGGGUGUUGGAGCGAUUCUAGAUCUAACAAAGACCAUCAAGAAUCGGAGUGGAAAAUGUGGGAGAAAGGAGAAGCGAUAAAAGAGGAUGAGAUGGUGGUUUAUGGAGAGAGGAAGCGUAUAACCAUUCCUAAUGAUAGAGGGACCUUAAAUAAUAAGAAAAAAGAAAAGAAGAAAUGAAACGAAAUGACACUAUCUCUCCAUAAGGGUUCUAUUUCAUUAGAAACACAUCAUAAACUGUUCCCACCAAACGUGUGCCCAGAUCUAAGCUAGAACUACUCAGCUACCCUAAGAAAACACUAACGUCUACUAGCCUAAGGGACUUGUUAAUGUAUCAAACCGGGUAUACGUCAAAAAUAGCGGAAACGUCUGUCUGAGAGACGGUUUGGGCAAAGUGCGAUGCAUGCCUAACGUUAGGGACUCGCUCUCUCCCUCGCUCUCGCGAUCCCAUACUCAUUCCUUGUAGCCCAAGUACCAAACCCAGUGUCAAGACAAAAUUGUACCAAUCGCCUCACAUAGCGAAAGGUGUCGCGCUCAAAACGUUGCUCCUGGUAACCCUGAACCAAUGGUAAACGACUACUCGCAGAGCACGAUCUACCAAUGAGAGGUUGUCUAUCCCUGCAAAACCUGAAAAGGUAAAAGAUAUUGUCGGGGAUUUGUCCCCCCGACCACAGGUAUAAAAGGAUCCAUUCUCCCCCAAGAGAAGAGAUCAAAAAAUAACCCUUAAACACUUUUCUAACACUUUUUCACCUUCUCUCUAAGAGCUGAACUGACUUGAUCAUCAGAGCUUCAUUCCGGGACUGCCUCCCGGACAUAGACUGACGAUCUUGUUUCCUUUGCUGUGAUUCUUAGACCCUUCAUUCCAUCUUUCAAAGAUACAGAGUUAAGCUGGAGACAUGCCACAACAGUUACACACUUAAUUCUAGGUUGUUACCCUUUGCCCCACUGGUGUAUUCCCCUUUUAAUUAAUUAAUUCUUAAUUCAUCUUUUAAGGGAUUACACAAAUGACAUCCAUAAGUCAUCAUGCAUAUUUAUUAUCAUCUUUUUGUAUUAUAUUACUGCCUAAGUUACUUCUUAUGUAAACAUGUAAACAAGUAAAUACUAGUUAAAACAUUUUACAUAGCAUAAGUCCAUACGAUUUUCCUAUAAUUUUCUAUGAAUUUUACAAGACAGUAUGUCCAUGCAACUAAUUUCUAACCAGUCGGUGAAAGCGACCAUUUUCUCCUUGGUGAAGUACAAUAUUAGGUCUUAGGAAAAAUUCUGGACAAACUAGACUCAAAAUUCAAACUUUGAUAGUUUACAAAUCCCCAAUAUAACUCUUGAUGAUUUUUCUAUAAUUUCUUCAAAAUAGGGACACAUUGCUAACUCUUUAUAAUUUCCCAACAUUGCAUUUGAAGGGUUAAUUGGCAACUUAACCCAUUAGACCAUAGCCAAACUCAACUAUAAUGAUGAAAAUUGAGUUCUUAACAGUAGCAAUAUAUCAACAAGUUAGAAUGGCAAAUACAACCUCAAACGAAGACUCAAAAUGCAUUACAUUUAUAGGAAAAACAAAGUGCAUUGGAAAAAAGGGUACUCGACCAAAGCUUAAGUUUGAUCCACCAUAAAGCUUCAUAUAAAGACUUUCUAACGUUGUUUUGAAAACCUUCUGGAUGGCUGAAAACAUAGUCUUUUACAGAAAACUUACCUUCUUGAAUCAAGCUAUCAAUAACAUAAGUUUUAUCAAUCACCAUAGAAUACAAUGUUCUAAAAACCAUGGAGUAUUUCUAGAACAUGAAGCAUAACAUUCUUGGGAGAGUUAAUACUUGAAAUUAAUAGCAACAAAACAACAAAUUUCUCCCAACAAACUAGAAUUCAAUCAUAUGAACUCUCAAAUAUUGUAUGGAGAAAAAUAUAUGAUCUUUAACACCAAAAUUGAUUCACAAUUGCUCAAGAAAUUGAGAUGAAACUGGAGAAGAAUAUGAAGUACAGGAUUUUACCUCUUAUUAGGAUGAUUUUCACAACCUCUAAUCCCUCCAGGAUCGAAAAGAAUAAACCCUUCGCCCCCCCCCCCCUAGCUGCCUGUUGUUUUUUUUGCUAUAGUUUAUGAUUGAGCGAUGCAUACGAGAGACAAGUAGGAAUCGAUCGUUCUCUUUUUUCUGUCGACAAAAAAUGGUAGGAAACAAGCAUCAAUCAUUUUUUUUGUUCUAGGGAACACACUUUAAGAAUAGACAUAUGGAGGAGGAUCAAUUCUCCUCCUUGGGAAUUAUACCACAAUUUUACCAAAUGGUCCCUAUAAUAUCAUAAUUUAUUUCAAAGCCUCCAUAACCCUAAUAAUCUAAUAUUUACAGUUUCCUUUGAUGACAUCUUGUCCCUUCACUUCAUAAUAAACCUUUUAGUAACUAGAAAUUAACUUAGCUUUCCCAUAUAAUCACUAGAUUAAACUAUUUUCUCUUAAUUACUGUAUAAUUCUUUUAGAUAUUAAAUAACUCUAUUUUUAUUUAAUUUAUUUUCAUUAGAUAACAAUCAAUUAAAUAAAUCAAACUAACAUCACUAACGAAAGGAAAUUUGGGUCGUCACAAAGAUGAUCAUUAGGAUAGAUCAUUAGAAAUAAAAAUUGAAAUAAAACCAACGAUAUAUAUUCCAGAGAAAUCCAUGUAACGAUACUGUCAGCAACGAAUGCUAUGUUGACCCUUCUGAUAAAACCUUAGAAAAUAAUAAUGUAGAAAAAGUAUAUGGGUAAUCGGGUUAAUAUUGUGAUAAUUAAACACAUUAACUAUAUUAUUAUAGGUUGAAAACUCUAUGUACUCACCCGGUUUUUCAACCUAAAUCACUCAACUUCUUUGUAUCACAGCAACCAAUAAAAAGUUACAUGCAUGAUGAGAGAUUCAUAGAGGUGUAGAAUGUUAGUCUAAGAUGCUGCAAGACCUGUUUACGCUUAUGUUUUGUAUCAGUUAUAACAUCUCAAACUUUAUAUAGAUCAUUGAAAAACCAUUUCUUUGGAAAUACUUUUAUGGGACCAAAUUCUGCAUUAAUAAAUAAACUUUGGUUUUUAAUAAACAUAAAUUUAUAUAUUUUUUAAAUGUCAAUAAAAAUGGGGUUGUCACAUUAAGCCUUCAGGUGGAUGCCACAUCGUGACCAUAAGUAUGUCACGUCAUGCCACACAAGACGAAUGUGUGCUUAUACAACUAUUACCUCAUUGUGGCACAAUGUUUUUCCCAAAAACCUCAUAUUUGAUCCCCAAAAUCUUUAGCUGGUCCACACUGAAAAACAGGUGUUACAUCGAAUCUAUAUAUCUAUUAUAGUAGAGACCAUUUUGUUUUCACCGUAUUCAUUUAAAACUCCUACAAAAAUUCAAAAGUCUUUUUAAUUACGAACUAAUUAGUAACUACAACUUAAGAGUAUUGUAACUUAAGAGUAUAUAUAAUUAGUUAUGUGUACAUACGAUUUCAACUUCAAAAUAAUUAGUAACUACAAGUAAGGAGUUUUCAUAACUUUUAGUUAGUAAGUGAUAAUUAUUAUAUUUAUUUAAUUAAUAUAAAAAUAUAAAUAGUUCAUAUAUAUAUAUAUAUAUAUAUAUGUGUGUGUGUGUGUGUGUGUUAUAACAUCGUGGGANNNNNNAUGAUUUUGCUUGAGUUCGAUGCAUAAAAUGGCAAAAAGAUAAUUUGAGAAAACUCAAAUCUCUAAAUUGAGGUGAAUGUGAUCGUACUGAACGAGGAAGAAGAAUAUACAAAUUAAAUUUAUAUAAGUGGAAUAUAGAAAUUUUGUUUAUAUUGUUUCAAAAUAAUAUGACACAAAAUUUAUGGUUAUUUUUUCUAUUCUAACCAAUGCAAUCAACCAUAUUGUUAUCUUUCUAUACCAAAAUCACUAAAAAAUUAUAUGAUUAUAAUAACUCAUAUUUACAACGUUUUUUUUUUUUUCAAAAUAAAUAGUGUGAUGUAAAUGUGAAUACAUGGCUGUAAACAAUUUUAACAUAGUGCUUGUAAUAUCCUUUGAAAUAAUUUCAUAUUAAAUAACAUUCACAGGUUGAUGGUAAGAACAUAAACUUGGAUUUAUCAUAUAUUUAGCAACUUAAAUAAUCGUUUAAAAUGAUUAUUUUUUUCGUUUGUAAUUUGUAUAGUAACGAAUUAGUUAUAAUAUUUAAUUUUUGUUUUAACAGCUUAAAUUAUUUUGUAUUAACGAAACUAAAAUAAUAGCGUAAUCGGGUUAUUCACUCUAGGAACCGUCUAGAUUGGUUCGGUUCCAGUUCUAACUUCAUAAGAAACAUCGGCUCUGGUUCUGGUUCGAACGAAAUAAGAUAGGUACAGACGUAUGCUCAUCCGGAUAUGAAUGUAUGGUAAAUCUAUGUGUGAGUACUCAUCACUAACUGCAUAAUUACUAAUAUUAAUUGCUCAAACCUACUUGCACACUCUCACCCAACAGCUAAGUCGAGAUGGACACUUGUCUAACAUUAUUUCCUCUUUAUUUGACUUUAAUAUUUUCCAUCCGCCAUCGUAAUCUGAAAGCAAUGCGUCAUAGCUAGAUAAGAAUGGCAACGGGACGGAUCUAUAUAAAACACUAUUCUACCCGACUUUAAUUCCAAACAGACAUUGUUGAUUAAUAAAACGUCACUUACCUAUGGUCGGCAAAUGAAUAGAUGAUCAUAUCAUUCUUUUAUUACUUUUCACUUUUUUUCUUCUCAUGUCUAGAUGUGAACAAUAUUAGGGUAAUUAAUCACAUUUAUUUUGGUGUUUAAUGCCAAAACGUAUGUUAAGAACAGUAAUAUUGUCGUUGCAGUAAUUGGAAAUAAAAGAAGUUGCCACAUGGUAUGCUCUCUCUCUCUCCUUGUUUCGUCUGUAUUAUUACAAGUUAAUGUAACGAAUAAAUACGAAAAAUAUAAAGGAUGCUCCCCGAAAGCAGGAAUCAAAAAUAUAUAGAUCCUGCGUCUCUAUUAAUAAUACAUCGAACCCUAGCUAGGUUUCUUGCUGUCAACUUUGUAUUAUGUUUUCUUGAUAUAUAAACACACAUACAUACAUAAAUACAUGAUACAUCCGUUUUAUAUAUAUANNNNNNNNNNNNNNNNNNNNNNNNNNNNNNNNNNNNNNAUAUGGAAUAUGAAAAUUUAAUUAAUAAGGUAUAUAACCUUUUUAUUCAGUAUUAAUAGGAAAAGUACAACUAAAGCUACCUAUUCCGAAGUCCAGUUAUUAUUGAAUACAAACUUUACGAAAUAGUUUGGUUUGAACUAUUUAUUCAAUAAGUUUUAGGAAUGUUACUAUUAAGUUGAAGGUGUAAUUUAAACUGAUGUAUUGGGUUUUAUCAAUGCUGUUCUUUUAAGUUUUUAUUUAUAACUUAUGUAAACGUACGUAUCACAUUUCAAUACAGACACUUUUAAUGAGUUCUAUAUAAAUUAUUUUUAUCAAAAGUUAAACAUGUAGAUGACCACAAUUAAAUCAUCAUUUUUAAUGCAAAAUAUGUGCAUAUAUAUUUUAAUACACAUCAGAUAUGUGCAAAAUAUAUGCACAUAUAUUUUAAUUCACAUAACGAUAUUUGUAAUACCAAAAGAAGAAUAUCAUGACACACAAUAUAUUUUUGCGUUUAUAUUAUAAAAUCAUAUAGUACAUCGAUCAAAUCAUGUUUUACAAUUACAGAAUUUUUAAUUCUGAGUAAACAUUUAAAAAUAAUAUAGAAGAUAGAAUAUUAGCCGAAAAAAAAAAAAGAUGAAAGAAAGAAAAAACAACAAUUGUGUUUUAUUAAUGUUUUUCUAAUACCGUAAAUGCACAAAUCACAGCUUCACGAUCUCCGGGAUGUCCACAGGGUACCGAUCAAUGCAAUCUUCCCAUGGUCCGCCGGUCGGUGUUUUUAUGUUCCGGUUACACUUCCACACGGCGCUGUUACACUUAAAACCACUUCCAAACGCUAUCUGCCAAACCCUAUCACCUUUCUUCAUCCUCCCUUUUGAUUCGAUGUAGCUCAACUCAUACCACAGCGACGACGACGACGUGUUUCCAAACCGAUGCAAAGUCAUUCUUGAAGCCUCCACAUGCUCCGCCGACAACUGGAGGUUCUUCUGCAACUCAUCUAUCACUGCCCUCCCACCGGCGUGUAUGCAGAAGUGCUCGAAUGCUAGUUUGAAAUCUGGAAUGUAGGGUUUCCAUUUCGGGUUGAAGAUUUUCCGGCCGAUGAGAGUGAAAAGAAAGAGAAGCUGUUCAGAUGCCGGUAGGACUAAAGGACCGAUGGUUGUGAUGUUGGAUUUCAAAGCUUCGGCGGCGAUCACCAUGAGAUCUUUUGACAAGUUGAUUCCGACGAGUCCUUGAGGAUCUUCUUGUUCGUAUACGCAUUUGUAAGCUCUGUCGUCGGAGCCUUUGUGGGUUCUGACGACAUGAACGAGCUUGUACUUCGAACGACUUCGGUCACGGCGUUUAUUGGAUAACAAAAGCGCGGCGGCGCCCAUCCGGAAAAGGCAGUUCGGAAGAAGCAUCGCUCGUUCGUUUCCUUGAUAGUAAUUUGGAGUAAUAAUCUCAGUGCUAAUUACCAUAGCGUUACAAUUCGGAAGAACCUGAAGCAAAUCUCUAGCUAAAUCUAUGGAGAUUAAUCCUGCACUACAUCCCAUACCCGACAAGUUAUAGCUUUUGAUGUUACUCCUCAACUUAUACUUAUUCACCACCAUGGCCGACAACGACGGCGUCGGAGAAAACAAGCUGCAGUUCACUAUAAGAAUAUCUAUGUCUUUCGGCUUCAAUCCUGUCUUCGCAAACAAAGAAUCAAUGGCGGAGAAAAUCACGAGCUCAGCCUCACCCCUAGCGGCCUCCAUGUUUGGAGUCGGCGGGAUGUAAUGAAUCGCCGGCGGCAAACUCGUCUCUUCACCUAAUCCAGAUCGUUCAAGAAUCCUCAUCUGGAACUCAACACUCUUCGGGUUAUCCUUGAGGAUCAACCUUGAAUGUUCCAUGAAAGUGGAGAAGGGGACACGGCACGUGAUCGGAGCUUUAUAACAGGUAUAAUCGACGAGGUAAAUGGAUCGAGGUUUUGACAUAAAGUAUACUGUGGAGAUGAAGAGUAAGAGAAACACAGAGCAUAGUGUUUGAACAAGAUCAAGACGGAGGGAUUUUACGGUGGUUAUGAUCUCAUCUGGUCCGAGGCGGAGGAUUUCAAGGGCGAUGGCUGCGAUGAUGGGGAUUAGUAUGAAUGUAAGGAUGUGGUUAACAAGAUACUGAUACCCGAGCUUUACGUAUUUCAGCUUGACGGAGGAGGAGAAGUCCGGUAAGACUGGUGGCAUCUUUGAAGGUUUAGAGGGAGAGAGAAAGAGAGAAACGAUGUAGCUACAAUGGCGGAUUGAGGUAAUGAAGAAGGAGGGGAGGUGGUGGGAGAUUUAAAGGGAAGGGGGGAAGGAAUGGCAAUGAAUGAAGACAGAUGAGAAGAUAUAAAUGAGGGGUCACCUUCAACAUCAUGCAACGGUCCCUGAUUACUGUUGUGACUUUCUUUAAUAAAAGGUUUACUUACGUUUAUGGUCCCUAUUCUCACUAGAAUUCACACUUCAUACCCUAAAAAGAAAGUAUUAACAGCAAGAUUUUGUUUUGUUAAUUAAUAAGAAUCUUGAAAGAAAAAAAAAACGAUCAUACAAUCAAAGUUGGGUCUUUAAUUAUACCACUGCAAUAGAUUUUGUUGGACGAAAUCUACUGGUGAACUAAAAAUAAAAGGGACAGAGUAUAUUAUGAAAUAAUGUUUCUUUUUAGACUUGGUUGUAGGAAAUAGCAAAGUGUUUUGGAAGUGACUAAAUCAUCCACAUAGCUUUAAAAAUCACCACGUUAAAACCGUUUUUUGCUCCGAAGUUAGACAGGUAUUAUCCAACGAAUUCAGUCAAUACUUUGCUAAAAAAUUAGUUGUGAUAGAAAUGUAUUCCACCGAUGGUUAAUUUGGUCCAAAUAGAAACCGUUAUGAGGCAGGUUAAGAACAAGUGAUCCGGAAACUCCACGGUGGCAAUGGUGGCACAAAAUUAAAUCAACGUCCACACAUCUUGCAUCCUCUUUUCUUGGUAGGUAAUGUGUAAUGGCUGAUGGGUAUCCAUAAUAUAGAGUUCAAAAAAAUAUCAAAUAUUUGGUUAAAGAUAUAAGUAUUUUUACUUUUAACACUAACAACCCAUUCAACAUUUACUUAAUCGUAAUCACCAUUAUUCUCGGUAUUGAAGAGUUAAAUACUUAAAUGAUCGUUAAACUCCAUUUCAUAUCAUCACCAACAAUCCAUUAAACACAUUUAUUCAAUCAUAUUCAUCACCAUAUUCAACUCAUUUACAACUUGUAUAGUGGAUGACCUUAGCUAUAUUACCAUCCAAACAAAUUAACUUUUAUAUAUAGUUGUUUUUUCUGACAAAUCGUUGACCUCCCAUAACCAUUGUUGUAACUCAAAUCAAAUACCUAGCGGAAGCAGCAAUAAAGACCCAUACGUUACAAACAUCACACCUAAUCAUCCUCUAUUUGAGAACAAGCGAAAUCGGUUAGACAAGACUAAUCAACCAAUUUCUCUUCUUUUACACCCAACUCAUGACACCAUACCUUUAUCGAAACAAUAUUAUAGAACCAAGAACUCACCUUGAAAUCUUUAUCGACUUCAAAAGCAUAAAUCAUAAGUAAUUUUUUUUGAAAUAAAGAAGCUCCAACCCAAGUGUCCUCACAAAAAGGUAGAAUUACUAUUUCUCAUUUUGUUUAUGAAUGUAACAUUCAGUGUCAUUUGCUUGAAGUUUUUUUUCUAAUAAAAAAACCACCAAUGCGACUCCAACCUCAUGAAAUUUCAUUCGACACAAUCAGUUAUAGAAAUCUCCAUGAGCUCCAUGAAUUGUCAAAAUGAUUAAGAUUUAUAACUCAUUCAUUUGGUUAAAAAUCUCCAUCUUCACAUCACAAACAUAACAUAAUUAGUCUUAUAUAAGGUUCUAUACAGAUCCCCCCUAAAAGGACUUUGCCAUUAUUACUAAAGUUAUACCAAUUACUUACGAGAUUGGGCAUUAAUUUUCAAUAGUCUUCCACAUUAACAAUUCAUCAACUAUUAUUGGUCAAAUAAUCUUCAAAUAAUCAACAAAGUGUUCCUUCCACAUCAACUGUCGAAUUCCAAUCUUAUCAAGUAUCAGCCCAUAGAUAAGUGAUCAAUUAUUUCUUUGUUUCUACAAGAUAUCAUUGAGAACUAUGUCACGGAUAAUGUGUAACAUCUAAUUUCUAGGUACUGAUUUUCCCAAGUUAAUUACUCUAAUUAUUAUUUGUGAAUGUUGUGGGUGAGCCACGACGUGGUGGCAAAGGCUCCACAACGUGGCAAUUUCCAGGUGUAACAUCCUUUGUUUCCACCUUUUUAGUCCCUCCAAAUUUAUCUUGCAUAUAAUAUGGAGUAAACCAUAUAAUAAAAUUAAGGUUACAAAUGAUAGCACCUUUUUAACGUAGCAUCCGAUUCCAAGUUCUAUUUCUUUCGUCCCUUAAGUUUGAGAUUUUUGGCAAAUUUGGUCCCUCGUACGCUGGGCGUAUGUUUGGUACGCUUAGCGUAUGAUAUUACUAUGGUCAAAAAGGGUUAACCAUGUAUGAUGGGUGUACGUGGUGUACGCAGGGUGUACGGCUGCCUAUUAAAACAUCAUUAUGGCUUUUGGACACGUACCCUCAUUAGCCUCCACAGUUCAUUUCGUCCCAUUGAAACCCAAGUUCAUCCUUUGAGAGUUCUUGAGCUUUGGAAGUGAUUUUCGGGCAUUUGUGUGAAUUCAAGAAGAAGGAACUUGGAGACCAAACAUUUGUUGAGGUUGAGCUUUUAGAUCCAAAGUCUUCAUUAACUUUGGGAGCUAGAUAAGGUAUAAAGUUCUUACCUUGAUGAUUCCUUAUGGUAGUUUGAAUUUAUGGAUGUUUGUAAACUUUAUUUGGUCCCAUGGGUUCUCCUUGUGAGUUUGAGAAACUCCAUGAGUUAGAUAUGUUAUAUCUCAGCCUCUUUAUUGUUCGUGAUGCAUAAAAAUGUCAUCUUGAUGGUCGUUAUUAGUCCAUGCAUGAGAUUGAGGCCUUAUUAUGAGCAUUGUUGGACAAAUGGAUUAGGGUGGCAAGCAAUCGAGUACGCUACACGUACCAAGUGGUACGGUGCGUGUACUGGCGAUCGGUUGUGUACCCCAAGUGUACAAUGUGUAUGCCUCUUAGUGGGCUUUUGACGUCGGUUGGGCUUUAGACCUUUGGGCCUUAGUUAAGUGUUGAACCUUUACUUGUUUAAAGUAGGUGGGCCUCAGGAUUCUGUUAGUGGGCCUUAAGUUGUAUGAGUUGGGCCUUAGGGGGCAUUAUGGUAUUAUUGGGCCAAGUUUGGUUAGGCCCAUUAUGGGAAUGGUGAAAUAGCCUUUUAUCCUAGGAGUGUGGGUUGGUAUUUUAAACCCACGGUUAUGGUUUAUGGCCUAAGUUUUAUUAGGAUUAUUUGUUUGUGUUUAGUUGGGGAUCUUUCGGUUCUGUAGCCGUGUAUCUAGUCAUUUGGACUGAGGUGAGUUUUCUCACUAUAUCAAUGGGUCGCAGACACCAAGGCCUACCCAUUACUUGUGAUACAGGAUGCUAGCUACAUUUGUGAUAUGUAUAUGAAAGAGCAGGAUUUGGCCCCUAGCAAUUGUAUGAAAUAUCAGGAUGUGGCUCAUGGCAUCUGUAUGAAAGACCAGGAUCUGGCCCUUGGCACCUGUAUGGAAGACCGAGAUUUAGCCCUCAACAACAAAUUAUUUGUUAGCCUAUGGUUUGGCCCAUAACACUAACUUAUUUAUGUUUGGUAUGUGGUACUGGGGAAACUCGCUAAACUUUUUCUUACAAAUUAUAUUUAUGGUUUCAGGUACUUUCGGUACUAAGGGAAAGGGCUCGGCGUGAUGACAUAACAUUCUCCCCUCACCAUUUUCCGCACUUUUAGAUAUUGUUACUCUGAUGAUUUGACAUUGUUACAAUGUAAUGGUUUUUGGACUAAUUUGAUGAUUGUAAGUCUUGUUUAAAAAUGAAAAAUUUUAUCUUGGUUUUUGGGUUGUUACAAGUUGGUAUCAGAGCCUUGGUUUGAAGGAUCCGGGCACACUCUCGAGUGUGUCAGAACUCAAACUGAGGAAGGUACGGGUAGAUGUGAAAGGUAGUAUUGGGCCCAUACUACUGAAAGCACACGACCUGUACUUGAGAAAAGAACAUCCAUGGGGGCUCUAAGGGUACCUGUGUGUUGCGAGUUUCCCUCAAGUGUUAGUUGAUUGUUUAUAUCUUUGUGUUUCAAUUUGAGGAUGGUGGUCACUCAUUUAAGAUUGGGAGGUACUGGUUUUGGCUCUGGUUCGGGUUCAGGUUCUAGCUCUGGCUUAGAACCGAUUGAUGAGAGGUUGUGUGAGCUUAUUCCACCGGAGGUUCCUCGAGGCAUUCUUGAUGCUACCGCCGUGAUUUUCGGUACCCCCACGGAGGGGAUUUUGGACCACAUGGAUGAGCGGCUUAAGACCUUUCGAGCCAAGAUUGUUACAAGGUAGAUUGGGGCGUGAACUCCCUUAUUUCAGGAGUUCCAGGCAUUCGGAUCACCUAAGUUCUUUGGGGUUAAGGAUCCUAUUGUUAUCCGCCGUUGGAUCACUAACAUCGAGAAGGCUCACGGACGAGUUUUUGCAAUAAGGGGCAAAGGUGGGAUUCACAUCCUGCCUACUGAGGGACAGAGCUCAUGACUGGUGGGAGGAGGUUACUAGAGCUGUAGGAUCGGCAGCAGUGGCUAUGAUGAAAAGGGAGGACUUUGUUCAGAGGUUUCAGAGGGAGUUUGCACCAGCUAUCGAGGUGCAUCAGUUGGCGAGGGAGUUCUAGGACCUUCGCCAGACUACAAAGACUGUGGCAGAGAUUACCGCCAAAUUCAGGGAGAGAGCAUUGUUUGUUUCUCAGUAUGCUGCAGAUGAGGAGAUGAAGAAGACAAGAUAUCAUGAUAUCUUGAGGGAUUAUAUUGGGGAGUUCGUGAGCUUCUCGGCAUGCAAGACCCUGAAUGAUAUGGUCGAGAAGUCCCGCAUGCGGGAGAUUGACUUGGAGCUCCGAACGAAGCGGAAGUUGGAGCAGGUUCAGACAGGUUUGGGUCAGACUAAGAGACCCAAUACCUCUGAUACCUACUCCAUAGGCCAGCAGGGACAGGGUCGUUGUGCCAAGUGCGGCAUGUCGCACAGUGGUGCUUGCCGAUCAGUAGCUUCAUGAUGUUUUAGAUGUGGCCAAAUAGGUCACGUGAGCAGGGAUUGGCCAAGGAGGGAUCUGAUUUACUUUCAUUGCAAUCAGACUAGCCAUAAAAGGCCGAUUGUCCGAGAUUCUCUGGGGGGGGGGAGUGGUGCCCCCUAUGCCAGCCACCUUGAGGAUUACUGAUGGCCUCUAAAGCAAGGCGGAGGCUCCUAUAUUGAAGAACAAUGCUUUUCAGCUGACCACCUAUGACGCUCGUACUGUGCCCGAUGUAGUUACUAGUAUGUGUUUUAACCCUAUCUUUUAUUGCUUUCUUUGUUUAUGCUUAUGAUUAUUAUAAUCUUGAGUGGGGAUCUUUUUGGUCAAUGGUAUGUCUACUCAUGUUAUGUUUGAUUUGGGGGUACCUAAUCCUUCGUAUCUCUUGCGCUCAGCAAGAAGUUUCGAGACACUCAGGGGACAUUGGAUUCCCCUGUAGAGGUGGAGAUUGCGGAUGACCGUAACACGAGUGAUUCGAGGGUUUUCCGUGGGUAUGUCCUGAACAGGUUUAGCGAGAGGUUCUCUAUUGAUUUGGUGUCGAUUCCCUUGAGAGCCAAUGGACCCGUGAUUGAUUGUGAUGGGUAGCUGGUGAGAGUUCUUACCACAUGUGGGGGAGACUUUGUUAUUACCAGUGAGAGAGCUUUGCAUGGGCCAGUUCUUUUUUCAGUUGUGAGGGCUAAGAGAUAUCUGCAUCAAGGUUGUUUUGGGUUUCUAGCUUAUGUUUUUGACACGCAGGCUGAGGGCAUGAGGGAAUUGAGCGGGGUACCCAUUGUGCUGGAUUUUUCAGAUGUUUUCCCCAAGGAUUUUCCUGGAGUGCCUCCCGAGAGUCAAGUUGAGUUUCGGAUUGAUUUGGUACCUGGUGUGGCACUGAUAGCCGAGGUGUUGUAUCGCAUAGCACCACAUAUGAUGCAGAAGUUAUCUACGCAGCUGCAGGAGCUGCUAUACAAAGGUUUUAUUCAUCUGAGCAGUGCUCCGUCGGGAGCAACAAUUCUAUUUAUGAAGAAGAAAUACGGUUCGCACAGAAUGUGCACUGAUUAUCUAGAGUUGAAUAAGCUAAUGGUGAAGAACCGUUACCCACUUCCUUAUAUUGACAAUUUGUUUGAUCAACUUCAAGGUGCAUCUUGGUUUUCCAAGACCGAUUUAUUGUCAGGAUACCACUAAAUAAGAGUUAGGAAUGAGAAUGUGUAGAAGACACACUUCAGGACUCGUUAUGGUCAUUACGAGUUCGUGGUGAUGCCUUUCGCGCUCACCAAUGGACCAGCAAUGUUCAUGGAUCUCAUGAACCAAGUCUACAGGCUGAUGUUGGAUCGGUCUGUGAUUAUUUUCAUUGAUGAUAUUGUUUGAUUAGUGUCUAAGUCCAUAACUAUUUUGGUAUGUACUUGACCCGAUGGUGCAUGGUCCUUUUGGGUUGCCUUCACCAAAGCAACUUGAUAGGAUGAAUUAUGGAGAGAAAGGAUUAAAUAUGAUUUAUUAAUAUUUAUGAGAAUAAUAUAUUAAAGGAGAAAUCAUAUUGUUUAAUUAAUAUUAGUCAAGAAUUAAUAAGAAUUAAGUUUGUGGCUAAAAGAGAUUAAUUAAACUUAAGGGACUAGAACUGUCAAUUGUAUGAUAGUUGAAUAUUGAGCUAAUGGACUCCAUAUUAAAGGGGUGGACGAAUUCUAUGGGGAAAACCAUUAGAAAUCAUCCAAGGCCUUUAAGGAAAGGAGUUCAUGGGUUGCUUAGGGCCUAUGCAUCCAAAUUAGGGUUUCCUUGUUAGAUAACCCUAAUAGCCUCACUAUUUAAAGGACCCUUAAGCCCCAAAAACGUGGUGAACAAGAUCCUUAGGCUUUCCACACGUUUUGGGUAGCCUCCUUCUCUUCUCUUCUUCAUCCUCUUGCUCUUGGUGUUUGUGAACCAUUAGAGGAGUGAUAUUUGUGACUCUAAGCUUUCUAAAGUCAUUACAAGGAGGAUUUGAGAUUGUUAUUGCUACAUAACAAUCAAGGUAUGAUCUAAACCCUAAUUUAUAUGUUAUAUUAAUUAUCAUAUGCUAGAUCUAGGGUUUAUAGUCUUGGAUGAAUUGCAUGUACAAUAGCGAAACCUAGAUCCAAGCAUUAGGGUUUGUAUGAGCACAUAGGAUGUUCUUAUGACUAAAACCCAUCAGUGGUAUCAGAGCCUUGAUUGGUUUCUAAUGUAUUGAUGCCUUGUAUGUUUGUUUAAGUUGCAAAAUUGAGUUUUAAGCUCCCUGCCUGAUGAACUCGGCGAGUACCAUAGUGUACUCGGCGAGUAGGCCUUAACUCGACGAGUCCAGUGUGGUACUCGGCGAGUUCGAGCGUCAGAUGGAGCUAUUUUUGGGAUUUCUUGCUGUUUUACUCAUGGAUACUUGCCUUAUCUGUUUUAGGUCAUUAAAAUCCGAUUUUAAACAUAUUUAUGAGUAUAUCCUUGAUUAAACAAAAGAUAAUUACCAAUUGAUUAGAUAAUAACUUCCUUAUAUGAUUAAAGUUUGAUUAUUUGUAUUAAUUGGGUAACUUAUCUUGCAAGAAAUUGAAAUUAGGUCAAAUAUAGAUAAUGAUGAAAUUAAUUGUUUAAUUUAUAUUAUUUGUUAUUUGAUCCUUGUGUUAUGAAAAGUUUCAAUUUUCCCCCUUUAGGUUUUAUAGUUUAAAAUUUGAACUCAAAGUUUUGUUUUGAAAUUUAAAUAGUUGAAACCCUAAUGUUUUGAAAAGAAUUCAAAACUUGCCCUCCAGUUUUGGAAUUUAAAUUUUGAUUAAAAGAUUAAUUUUGAUGUAUAUUUAAAUUCUAAACCCUAAUGUUUUGAAAUGUUUCAAAACAUGCCCUCAAGUUUUGGAAUUUAAGUGUUGAUUAAAGGUGUAAUUUAGGAAUGUUAAAUUCUAAAACCCUAGUAUUGUUUGAAAAGUUCAUAUCACACCCUUAUGGUUUUAUUAAUUAAUUAAGGUGUAUAAUUAAAAGAGGUUUAAUAAAUCCAUAAGAGUUUUGGUUUACAAUUUAACUGAAUUAAAAUUAUAAUUGUUAAAAAUUGACCACCUAGUAUUUUAAAAGUGUAAAAUACACCCUAUACUAUAUAUAACAUUAGAAGUCUAACAUUAUAUAUAUGUAUGAGUAAAAGUCAGUCUUACCCUUAGUAGGCCUCAUUCACGAAGCUGGUCUAUAAGGGGUGUUUAAGGAAAUUGCCUAUAAAAUGGCGAUUGAAUGGGUAUCCACUCUUACCCACCGCACUCUUGACUAGUGGAGGGUCGUUAGCCGAACGGGUAGGAUAGGACAGAAACCUUCCAUUAUAAGUAUAAUCAAGUACAAAAGUAACUAAAUGUUUUACAAAUUCCCAAUCUUUGUUACUUUAGGAAAAAGUGAACUGAUGCAAGUCCAUGAAAUUACACUUUGUACCCUUGCAAGGACUUUAGUGGAGCGUGUGUGGUUAACCGGCACACUAAAUGGUUCUAAGCAAAGGUAGAAAAGGGUGACUCAAUGUUUGUCAUAGUUCGGUGGAGCGUGUGUGGUUUACUGGCACAUCGAAUAGGUGACUGUAACAUGUGGGGGCACCAUGUAAGUUUGCAUGGUUAUUCACACCCGCUUUGUGAUCCUCGGCAUCCCAGUCACAAACUAGAGGGGCAUAUCGAGAUUUAAACAUGCCAUUGAAAUGUUCAAUGAAUCUCAAAGGAUCUAGGAGUUUUCAUAGAUUUAAAACUUAAAUUUCUUUUUCGUUUUUCAUGGUGGAAAUUAGUGAAUCGUCAUUCACUUACCUUCAAAUAUUCUGCAACUAGAUUACGACAUCCCUUUUCUAGGUUGUAGCAUAUUGUGUUGGGUCCUAGCCUUAAUAUCUCAUUUGGGUGAUUUAUUAAGGACUCAAUCAAUCAACUAACUUGAAUUUUUUUUCUCCCGUUUUGUAGAUGUCA
rnacentral:lncRNA from 1 species